rnacentral:lncRNA from 1 species
CGGUCCCGCUGUCCUCCCGAAGUCGAUAUUCCCCUCGGGACCUCAGUAGAACACAGAUCACCGGCCAAGGCUCCACGGGAUACCUCCUCGGUGACUCGACUCUCCCGUCUCCGUCGGCGGAGGGCGAUGGUCUCAUUCUCAUCAUCCUCCGAGGUCCCAACCUCAGGGAUAGCUUCAGGAACUAGAGCCUGAAGUUCCUCUUCGCAGACCGAGGAUGAGCGGGGCAUAGCCAAUUCUUUCUUCUUCAUCUUUUUCUUCUUAGGAGCGUCCUCGGCGGGCAAAUCCCCGGCUUUCCGUUUCUUCCCCCCUUUUUUAGAGGAACCGUCUGCCCCAGCUUGCCCCGGCUCAGAAGAUUCCUUCGGACCCUCGGCCUUUUUCUUGCUCUUCUUCAAGGAGCCACCAGUACGCGUUUGCUCAGCAGCAAUUGGGGUCGCCUCUACCGCUUCCAACCCCGAAAGGCCAACCCUGCUCCCGGAAGCGCCUCGCUUGGCGCCUAUCUUUUCAGCUACAAUAAGACUAAGGUCGGGCAAUUGCUUCAUUGUCUUGGCUCGGUUGAUCUCUUUCUGCUCAGCUCGAGUAAAGAGGGAUAAUCUCUUCGAAGUCGAUUGAUUGACGAGGGGAAGCAAGUUUGAGAUCCAACGUUCUGCAAAGAAAAAUUCUUACUACGCGAUAUUCACUUGCUAGGAAAAGCAGAAGGGAAACAAAAAAAAAACUCACGACUAGCAAUCUGAUCUAUGGAUCUUUGAAUUCUCUCCCGAGUAAAGCCCUCCCAGUGAUCUUGCUUCUGCAACGCGACGAUCCGAGCACUCUCCUUCCAAUCCUCGGGAUAAGUGGCGAGAUUCGGAUGACCAACUACAAAAGGAAAAGAGACGCGUUAGACGAGCACAUGCUACAAUUGUCACAUAAGAUACUGCGCAGUACCCAUCUCUGCAUUCCAGAGAACGCGAUAACCAGACUUCGGAGGCUCCUCGAACGCUGAUCUGUUCGACUUCACAUAGAAAUACGAACGCUGCCAGUCUGAGGUUUUGGUCGGGUAUCCCGUGACCACGUUAUAAUUUGGGCGCAUCCUCGUCGAGACGAGCCCAUCAUCGGAAAUUGAGACUGAAGUCAACUCCUCAAACGACCUCACACUCAUCGAUGUCCCUGCCUCAGCCGCGAUCACCGAUAGAACGACCAUUAACCGGAGAGAACCGUUCAUCAACUGGCUUAAGGCAACUCCUCUGCGGAACGCAUAAGCCGUGACAAUUCGGGGAAUUGGGAACCACAACUUCGUGUCGCUCCGAAAAUACGACUCGUAAAUGCAUUGAUAUCCCUUCGGAGGCGACCAAGGCCUCUGAUCCCGUUUUGGAACGAUGAACGAGACCCCGUGUGCAUUGAGAUCUCGGAGGAUAGCUUCCACCGACUCCACGGUAGACUUCGUCCUCUCGACGUUGGACCAAUCCUGUCCAUCGACGACCGAAGGUCGAAUUCUCCAAACCUCCAGGGGGCUCUCUUCAGCGAAGAUGUUCCCAGGGUAGUAGCUGAUCGGGACAAUCGAGGCGUCGACCGCUUCUUGACCGUCGUCGUCACCCCGGAACUGUUCUCUCGCUUCCAAGACCAAGAGACGCUGCGAUAAAUCCAUAUUCCCCGUAUCCAUCAUCGCUUCGUGAUGGACAUCGUCAGAGUCCCGAGAAGAAACCGCCCCCUUUCCCUUUUGUUCUCGCGUCAAACGAUGAGAUGACGACAUCUCGGAUAUUCGCAGAUCUAAAAACAGAGAUAAAGAGAGAGAAAGGAGCGUAGAGAGAGAAAGUACCUUUAGCGCUGCGGAGGAAAAUGAAAAGAAGUGGAGAGGGGGUCGCUAUUUAUAGAGAGAGAUAAGCGCGGGGAUCAAAGCGUCAUCAUUACGCCUAAUAAGGCCUAAGUGGGCCUAAACCCAAUUAGGCGCGUGAUCAACAGAUGCGCCGGUCCGUAUUCUCGACCCGUAAGCGUUUAUCUCACGAUCGCAACGCGUGAGAAACGGACGCAUCAAUCCAACUCUGUUAGAAACUGUUUUGGUUAAUGAGCCAGAACUGUGUGUGGUUAUGAAUCGGAAUAAUAAGUAUUUGUGGGAUUUGGGAAAGAGAUUGGGUGUUCUUGGAAUGUAUUGGAGAGAAAAUGUUAAACAACAUAUGAUGUGGCGAUUUGAUAACUGUCACACCUACAAAUGACGACAAAUGUAGUAGUAACUGAACCUGACAAUACAUGUGACAAGUGACUAAUGAUGAGUGUAUUAUGUCAGCCAUUGAUUUACACAAUGUAGUUUAUAUUAAAAUGACUGUUGCAUAUAUGGAUGGAUAUUUCACUCCAGAUAAACUAUACUAUUCGAUUCAAUACAAAAAUAAACUAUCUAACAACCAUGCCAAACCAAAACACUACUAAAUUCAAUAAACGAAAGUUCAUAUUUUCAUUCUAAAACAAUAAAGAUGAAAUCGAACGUAGACCUGUAAUACCUUGCAAAGCAAGUAACCUCUAUAUACAAAAGACAUUUCUUUUGGUUUCUGCAUAGGGAAAGGCCCAACGAAAUAUGUAAAGUACAGUCUUUAAGGAUUUUUUUGGGGUCAGCACAUAUGAGCUAGCUGGCUCUGAGUAAGAUCAAAGACAAGUUAGAGUAAUCUUUUGUUUGACCCGUUAUUACCGUUUCUAGCUACACCCACAUGCAGUGUUGCGUAGUUUCACUGGGUUGAACUUGAGUCAUUAAUGUUAAAAUACUGUCUCAAAUGAAGCUUUAUGUUAGUUUAUUAUAUUAUAUAGCAUUAUUGAAGUCCAGUGUGUAAAGGGAAAAAAGAAAAAAAACGGUGAUGCUAACUAAUAUUCCCUUUGGAUAAACAAACAAUACUUUACACUAAAACACAAAGCCUCACUUCUUUCUUUGUUCCUUCAGCUUGCAAAGGUUAAUGUUCUUCAACAUAGAUCCAGCAGACUCGUAUUCAUCAUCAUCAGCAAUGACUUGUAGAUUUCUUCAGAUCCUCAUGAUCUCUUCUUUUCAUCUCAUUUAUCUAUCAACUCAGCAAGAAAUAAAGUUUCUCUACGACAACUUUCACAAGCAAGAAAAUCUUUACCUUGAUGGAUCUGCAACAGUUCUUCCCAGUGGAUUAUUACAGCUCACAAACGCUGGAGAUCAUCAAAUGGCUCAUGUUUUCUACAAGAAACCAAUCAAGCUCAGUCCUUCAAAACCACUCUCUUUCUCAACACACUUUGUCUGCGCUCUGGUUCCUCAGCCAGGGCAUGAAGGUGGCCAUGGCAUGGCCUUUGUAGUAUCUCCCUCUACAGAUUUCUCCCACGCAGAAUCAACUAGGUACUUGGGGAUCUUCAACGUGUCCAAAAAUGGUUACCCUUCCUCUGAUGUGCUUGCUGUUGAGCUUGACACUAUCUGGAAUCCAGAUUUUGAAGAUAUAGACAAGAACCAUGUGGGGAUUGAUGUCCACAGUCCUCUCUCUGUAGGAAUAGCUUCAGCUUCUUACUAUUCAGACAUAAAGAGGAAGAACGAAAGCAUAAACCUACUGAGUGGGAAGCCUAUACAGGUUUGGGUGGAAUAUGAAGACACUUUGCUCAAUGUCUCAAUGGCUCCUCUUGAAGUUGAGAAGCCAAGCCGGCCUCUGCUGUCACAACUCAUCAAUCUUACAGAAGUGUUUCCUAAUAGUUCAAGUCUUUUCGUUGGAUUCUCUGCUGCAACAGGGACAGCUACAAGCUAUCAGUAUGUUCUUUCUUGGAGUUUUUGCACAAGUAAAGGAUCUUUACAGAGUCUUGACUUGUCAAGACUCCCUGAUGUUCCUCCUCCAAGAGCUGAACACAAGAAUCUUUAUCAACUGGCCAUUGUCUUGCUUGGUUUUGUGGCUACCAUGGGGUUAGGUGUUCUCAUAGGAGUGUAUCUUUUCAGGAAGUGCAAGUACGCAGAAGUAACCGAACCAUGGGAGAAGGAGUUUGGUGCACAUAGAUUCUCUUACAAGUCACUAUACAAAGCAACAAAAGGGUUUAGCAAAGAUGAGUUUCUUGGGAAAGGAGGCUUUGGAGAAGUGUACAGAGGAACUCUCAUGCUGAGCAGAGAGAUAGCUGUGAAGAGAAUGUCUUAUAACGGCGAUGAAGGUGUGAAGCAGUUUGUGUCUGAGGUGGUGAGCAUGAGGUGUCUGAAACACAGGAACCUUGUUCCGCUUCUUGGUUACUGCAGGAGAAAGCAUGAGCUUCUUUUGGUCUCUGAGUACAUGCCCAACGGUAGUCUUGACGAGCAUUUGUUUGAUGACGAGAAACCAGUACUCUCUUGGCCUCAGAGGCUUGUGAUCAUUAAAGGGAUAGCUUCUGCUCUUUGUUACUUGCACACAGGUGCUGAUCAGGUUGUUCUGCAUAGAGAUAUCAAAUCUUCAAACAUUAUGUUGGACGGUGAGUUCAAUGGAAGGCUAGGGGAUUUUGGUAUGGCGAGGUUUCAUGACCAUGGAGGGUAUGCAUACCCAACAGGAGCCGUUGGAACUAUAGGGUACAUUGCGCCGGAAGUGAUUGAUAUGGUGGCUUCCACUGGAACUGAUGUGUAUGCCUUUGGUGUUUUCAUGCUUGAGGUAACAUGUGGGAGGAGACCUGUGGAACCACAGUUGCAAUGCGAGAAACGGCUUCUGAUCAAAUGGGUUUGUGAGUGCUGGAAAAGGGAUUCACUGCUUGAUGCUGUUGACCCGAGACUGGGAGAUGAGUUCUUGCAAGAGGAAGUGGAGAUGGUUAUGAAACUCGGUUUGCUAUGUUCAAGUACUGUGCCGGAAUCGAGGCCUACGAUGGAACAAGUGGUUUUAUACUUAAACAACAGCCUGCCUUUGCCUGAUGUUUCACCAUAUACUGUGGGGUUAAGCAGUCAUUCUUCGGUUUUGAUUGAUGCAGCCUCUCUUGUAGCUUCAAGUAGCUGGUCAGCUUCCUCCAUAGCUUCUUCCUUGGUCGAUAACUCCGCUUCAAAAGAAUAAGCCGUGGUGACAUACAUUGGAUUAUAAGAUCGUUAGUCAUAGGUAAACACCAAAUGUACAUAUAGAAGAAAGCAGAUCUUCUAGCUUUCAAGAUUGUUGUAUCUCUCUCACUUUGUCUCGGAUCAAUGAACUUGUCAGAAAGUAAUCUUCAGUCUUAUCCCUGUUGGUUUAAUUUGUAUCAUCUUGUUUUCCUUUAAAAUGAAUAUAAGCUUUCAACUACCAUCCCUUUUUAAAUCUCAUAGUGGCUAUAGUUUUCACUUCAAGAAGCUCUUUAGCACCAUCAGCCUCUCCUCCAUCACACAAUCACAUAUGAAAAAGAAAAACUAAGUAAAAAGGAAUGUGAAUAUGAAUGUGAAUAUGAAUUAUAAAAUAGCAAUCUGAUUCAAAUAGAGUUUUAAAUAUGAAUUAUAAAAUAGCAAUCUGAUUCAAUUACUAAUGGAAACGUACAACAACGGAAAUAUCACAAAACUUGUAAGCACUACAAGUUUCAGACCAUAGUCUUUAAAGAAAAGAGAAAUGAAAAAAGAACCAAAACAGAACAAGAAGAGAGUAGUCACAUUUAAGAAACAGGUGAUCCAUUUGCAAGAAGUUUGGAGUUGUUUCUUCCUUCAAUCUCCAAAUGAGUUGAGUUUGGACUUCUUGGAAUCACAAUCCUAAUCACGAUCUCACCCGCGUCGCCGUUCUUGAGAGCCUGGCCGGACGGAAGAGGAGAUGAUGGAGAAGAAGAAGAGAUAGUGACGACAUUAGUGGGAUGAUGAUUCUCUUUAGAUGAUUUUUGUGGCCGAACAACCCACAUAAGGUUGUAACCUAUACUCUUAUGCAGUAAUAUGACAGCAGAGGUGACAAGAAGUUGGAUGAUCCAAGGUAUGGUCAUGAGUAACGUUCCGCAUAUCGAAAAGAAUUUCGUGUAACCAAAGUUGUGUCUUCUCGUGGUGGAGAGACUGAAGAGAAGGAUUCCAACUAGUGUUAUCCAUAGAGAAUGUGAGAUGAUUGAUCUUAGAGGGAGUCCUCUGUUUUCCAUAGCUCUCGUUAUCUUUCUUCUCUCAUUGAGAAAGAGUCGUAAAUUUUUGUAGUUAAAGAUUUUCAAGAUGUUGUUAGAGAAAUAAGUGGUGUUUAGUUCAUAUAUUAUCUCAACUUAAUUUUUUUUUUCUUUUACAGAAAUAUCGGUUUAAGUUUAAAUUUUAAUAUUAAAAAAAUUUUGAAUAUCAAAAUUCAAAACAAUAUAUCACGGCAAAGAAUCCUUAACAACUAUGAAAAUUAUCAAAAGGAUGUUGAAACUGAGAAAACAAAAAAAAAAAUUCAAAAAAACUUGCUACCUUGAAAGAUCUGUUUUCUAUCGUUCUGAAGAACUAGGUUGUAGCAACUCGAGGCUUGGUAAGACUGCAGUAGCUUCACCAUCAAGAACAACAAGUUCACUGUGAUUCUUGAUGCAUUUUGUUGAGAAUUUGACACUAACAAAGAGAAAUGAGGUUUAAUAACAAAAUACUAAAACCUUUUGUAUUUCAAUAGGUUUAAUAAGUUAGCUUACAUGUACUUAUUCUUGGUUUCUCUUAAAGCUGUGGCUUGUACCAAACCGAGAAUUUCAUCCCCUACGUACACAGGUGAUCUGAAAUGUAGAGUCUGAGAUACAUAUACGGCUCCAGGCUGCAACAAGACCAACAAGACUCAAUAUGUUUCAGUAAAUCUGUAUAGAAGCACUAUUAGAACAUGUGGAUAAUGAACAUAUGCAAAAUAAACUAGAGAACUUACAAAAUGGGAAGAGAUAAUACGGGGAAACAUGGAAGACACAAGCAUUCCAUGGACAAGGCGAUUCUCGAAACCGGCUUUACGGGCAAGUUCUUGAUCGAAAUGAAGUGGGUUCCAAUCAUGGCUUACCUCAGCAUAGCUCUUAACGUCUUCACUUGAGUACACUCUUGCUUCUCUUAAAACAUCUCCAACUUUAAGUGUACUUGAAGUAACUGAAGAGAGACACCUCGAAACAAGGACAUUUCUCUGAAGAAAUGUCUUCGCCAGCAUCGCUUCACCUGAACCACAAAAAGGAAAAAAAAAGGUUCACGUAUCAUCACAUACACAGUGGCAACUUGUUCUUAUUGAGUCAUUUUAUCGAACAACUUGUAGGCAUGCAGUUGAAAAUCAAAAGUUACAAACUUUGCAAGAUUAUUUUCCCAAUUGCUAACAAUACAGGAUCAUAAACUAAUCUUAUAAUCAAAUGUUUCAGAAAUAAGAACGACAACAAAAGAUUAACCUAGUUGAAUAAGAGAAAGACUCAUACUUUGCCUCAAGUUUAACUGUACCAAACUUGUCUAACUCGACUUUUGAGCUCAGGCUGUGAUUAAACUGAGUUCCGUACUAAUGACUAAUACCAUACCAUAUUGACCCAUGACCAUGAUGGGUACGACAACAAAAGCUUUCUUUUAUUAAGUACCAAAAGGAAACAUACAUAAGCUGAUUGCAACAGCUGCAUUGUCUUUCGGAAUAUGAGUUUACAAAUUGCGAGCAAGACAAUCAAAAGACACUACUAUAAGAUGAAGCUUGUAAACAUUGAAGAUGCAUUGAUCAUCAAUUUUUUCAGUAUGAUGAUCCUCAACUGUCUCAGGGCUGCCAUGAGGUGAUCCAUUCAGUCAAACUUGCGACAUUGUCGGAGAUAUCUUCGAUGGUGUCGCUUUGCAGCGCGAUGACAAUCUCCUCUUGGUAACUAUCUCUUGCUUCUUCGAGCAGGACUUGGAAGAUCUCGCAUUCAAUGUUGUUAGCAAGCUUGGUUCCCGAAUAACCCCUGGUUUGGUUUGAUUUGAGGACAAAACCAAAACAUGUUAAAAAAGCCAAACAACAACUAAAACUAACACUUUCGAUGAAUAAAGGAUUGGGUUUAGAUUCCGACCUCUUGGUUAAACGGUCAUACAAGACAGAGUUCUCAGUUUGAAGCACGACAACACGAUCAAACCAGCGCUCGGGAAAGAAGUCACAGCCGUGGUAAUCAACAAUGACACCUCCUCCUUCCAUUAUAUCUUCAAGCUCAUCACACACCUAAUCAAAUGUUACAAAAAAAAUACAAUAACAGCUAAGUAAACGAAUUGAAUUCCCUAUUUGUCUGAUUAAAGAGUUAAGAUUUAACCAAUUACUCAAAAGUUAAAUCCAACCGAAGUAGCUGAAAAGAUAGAUUGAACAAACUCACUCACCAGGUCUUCGUUGAUGACGUGGCACUCGAACUGAUCGUCCCAACCGUCGUGCAAGUUCUUCUCUUUGACCAGAUCUCCGACGCAGAUGUAACGGAAGUUCGUGGCCUCCGCCAGAGCAGAAGCCGUCGUCGAUUUACCGGUACCGGGAGUCCCCGUUAUCAGUAGGUUCGGCCUUGGGCGCCUCGUCCCGUUGUUAGCUCCUUCCGCCAUGCGCACGAUCCUCUCUGUUAGAGGCUUAAAAGAGUUUUAGCUUCGCCGCCGGCGUGAGAUUUGGAAGGGAAGAAGAGAAGAGGAGAGUUUAGGGUUCUUUUCACGAACCUAAGAGCAUCUGUAUUGGUGGGAUGAGGAGAGAGGGAGAGAAAGUCCCUUAUUGUUUUUUUUUUUUUUUUUUUUUUUUUUUUUGGUCAUAGAAGAGUAAGGGACAGCCCUUAAUUAAGGACUUUUCCCUUCUCUUUCUUCCUUGGUUCCCACCCCCUUCCCCUAAGAGAUGGCUUAAGGGCCUUCCAAUACAGAUGCUCUAAAGCCUAAAGGGUGAGUGAGUCCCUCGCGGCCGUCAAACUGAUUGAUGUAAGAUAAUCCAAGGGUGUUGAAGUUUUUUUGAGAAAUUUUAUCUAUUUUCUUUUUCUACGUUACAACUCACAAAUUCAAAAUAAUACAAUUUUUUUUUUUUAUCAAACAACAUUUUAUAAAUAACUAGUUUCCAUUUGAAGAGGAAUUGUUUACAAAGAUGAUAACAAAGCCAUACUGGCUAACAACUUUGGUGCAAGAAAAGGCAAGCAAACACACAAAGAUAGAAGCAAUCAUUAUACAUAAAUAACUAACAUUGCUGAAACGUCGUAGUAUCUCGACAAUACUAGGCUUAAGCAGUGGAAUGACGCCAUAGAAAACAAAGAACACAAUCAGUGAACUACUGCUUGUGAUUGGUACUGCAACUAGUGCAGAAAUAACAAUCGUAAUACUGGCUACAAUAGCAGAGGCGAUAUGACACCAAGAUGCUGAGCCUUUGAACAAUACAUAGAACAAAUCAUCUGUAGAGCAAUCUUCCAAUCCAAAGGCUGACCGUGCAAAACAUGAGCAGCAACGAUACAAAAACAAUGGUAAUAUGGAAGUUGAAGUUGGUUUCAUAAGAGUGAUGAUAAUGAAGAUCUGAAACCACAACCAAGCUGAAAAUCUGCAAUUCAACAUUAAGUAUUCUACUCUAGAAAAAGUUAGACAGAUCUGAAACCAAGAUGUAAUAGGCAACAAACACUCUAUAGCAGAGUAGAAGGAAGUAACAGGAAACAAACACUCUAUAGCAGAGUAGGAGGUAGCAGGCAGCAAACACUCUAGAGCAGAGUAAAGGGUGGAUUCAACUAUCAUAAAGGAACCAAUAGUUGGGAAGAAGUUACCGCAUAGAGAAAUAUAAGCUAGCAAUGGUGUCUCUGGCGAGGGAAGUCUAGCGGCAACCACGUACUUGGCAAUAAUGGUACAGAGACAAGUUACAAUAUCACUGUGAUGGAGAGGAACACUUCUGGUCUCAGAUGUCGAAACUGGAAAAUCCAGAUCUAGGGUUUGGGCUAACGCUCGAGGAGAUACACUGGAUAAGUUGAUGAGUAAACGAAGAAGAGCAGGUGCAUCUGGAGGGUCUGGUGGUUCCAGCGGCUCGAUGGGAGAGAAAGAUCCCAGCGGGGGAAACUUACACGGUGGUGGAUCCGGAGGAGGCCUGGAAUGCAGCGGGAGAGGAGCAGUCGCCAUCAGAAACAUGAAGGAGGAAGCUUCUUCGGAGGAAGAAACCUAAACGGCGGCGGUGGAGCGGAGCAGAUCCAUCCGAGCGGCGCACAUCGGGAACCGGGCCUGGGAGGUUUCUUCUAGGGCGAACUCUAUUUAUCCAAUGCUAUGUUCUGAUUUCUUACAAAAUAAUACAAUUAAAUCACGUGAUUUACACUGAUGACAUACUUUGAGUUUUUAUCACAACUAUACGACAUUCUAAGAUACUUUAACACUUACUAGAACAAACAAUCACCAAACCAUGAAAUCAAGGUUUUUCAUCAAACUCGCAAUAUCACAUUUUCCUACCAAAACUAUAAAACUAUGUUUUCUCACCCAAAACCGCAACAUCAUGGUUUUCAUAAAAUACCGCAAAAUCGCAUUUUUUUCAUCAAAAUCAUAAAAUAAUGUUUCUGUUAAACUGCAAAAAAAAGUAUUUUCAUAUUAAAAUCACAAAAUUCAAUUUUCCCAUUCAUAAAAUCAGGUAAAGCCGAAAACUUCAAUUUUGCGAUUUUGACAUAAAACAUAAUUUUUCAAUAUUGACGACAAACUUUAUUUUAAAGAGUCGGCAAAAAAUAUGGUUUUUGUUUUACAAAAAAAAAAAAUAAUUUUGCAGUUUUGAUAGGCAAUGCAAUUUUGUGAUUUUGACCCUCCAAAAAAGUAAUUUUAUGAUUUUAACAGAAAAUAUGAUUUUGUAAUUUUUACGAGAAAACGUGAUUUUGUGGCUAAAUUGUAAAACAAGGUUUUGCUAUGCACAAAUACACUAUUUCUACAAUCCAAAUGUACAUUUUUUUUACCAUUUACCUUAUUCAACUCGUUUUAGAAUAUGUUCUUCUUUAUCGGCUACUGAAAUGUGCAGACUCCUAUGGGUACACAUAUAUGUUAGUUAUGUUGCGAUUAAACAGUAUUCAUUGCACUUCAUCAAUAUGUAUAAUCAUUUACAAAAAUUACACAAAACUACAUUCAUUUUGUAUGCAAAUGUCUAAGCGCGAGCUGAUUGCUAAAUUAUGUAUAACGAUACUAGCAUGUCUUUCAUUUGUUUAUGUAUCUGCUAGAGAAGCAAGAAAAACUCGAAACAAAAUUGCUAUAAUAUCACGCAAACGUCAAUGAUCAUUGAUCAAAUUACAUGAGCUUUGUAUUCAUAAUGAUUUUCAGAAGACUCGAUAUAUAUUUUAUUUAUUUAUUGAACUGAAGAACACUCGAUUUUAGUUAACCAAACACAAGGAUAUCAUUCAACAACCAUAACUUGGAUGAUCAAGUCUUAAGGCACACAAAACAAUAGAAAUACAACAUUUGAUAAAAUACAAUAGCAAAUAAGGACACAAACUUUAUUGUAGUAGAUAAGAUGAAUUUUUUAGUUCAUGGACUCGAAACAUUAUCAUGAAAACUGGAAUACCCGCCGUUCUCCCCUUUAUUUUCAACUGGUCGUGUUUCCUCUUUGAGAUGAAUAUGGGUUUUGCGUAGAUGUACUUGGUCGCGAAGUUCCUUGUGCGUGCGUUGAUGUACUUGGUCGCCAAGUUCCUUGUGUAUGCGUUGAUGUACUUGUUUCUCCUGUUCGUUGUGCUUGCGUGGAUGUACUUCGUUGUACGGCUCCUAGUGCUUGCGCAGAUGCAUUUGUUACUGUGGAUAUGGCGCUCAACAAACUUCCUGUGAUUCCUGCCACCAUUGAGGUUCCUUCUGCGCAUCAGAUGGUUAACACAUAUCUUAUUGUUAAUCAACAAAAACUGUACCACGAGAAAAUGAGGAUACAAUCUUUUAUUUUAGAAGAUGAGAUGAAAUUGUAGUUCAUGGAGCUCAAACCGAUCGCCAACUCAAAAAAUAAAAAAAAUGAAAAUAAACUAGAGGAAAGUAAGAUUUGUGUUGUCACAAGAUGAUGCAAGCACCUGAGUUAUUUUCCGAAGCUCGUUUCCUCCUCUCUUCUUCUUCCUUCUCCUGCCUGAUCUUCUCUUGUUUUCUCUUUUCUUCCGCUAAAUCUCGUUGCCUCCUAUUCUCUUCCUCCUUCUCCUGCCUGAUCCUCUUUUGUCUCAUCUCUUCUUCUUCCUUCCAGUGUUGCGGUUUCACUGCCCUUGGUUCUUUUCUAUCGUUCUUCUUUCCAAAAUACCCUUUUAUAUUGUUAGGAAGAAGGUUAAACGCACCCUUACCGAUAGCUUUUACAUUCUCAGCCGCACCGACACCUAUAGCGUUCACCUGCGCAGCAGCACCCGCCCCGACACCUUUUGCCUGCUCCAAGAAACUAUAAUUUUGCGAUGCUGUCCCGUUUGAGCUGCUGGCAUCACCAUUGAGCGGUUUACUUGCUUUUUUUAUGUUAAUAGGUCGUUUGCCUUCAUCUUGCUGCUGGAUCUUGACUUCUGGUUCCUUUGCCCCAUCUGGUACAGUCUCCUGCAAUUAAAAUAAUCAGUUCAUAGUAUAAGCUACAUUAACCCUUAUCACAUAAUAUAUAUAAAUUUAAAGCCAUUGAAAUGUAAAUUUCUUAAAUUUUUGUUCUGGGAAUUGAAAAAACAAACCUUCUUCUUUUUGAAACAGAAACAACAAAAAUUCAUUUUCUAAAAAUAGAAAAUAUUAUAGAGUGAAGAGAGAUAACAAAGGAGGCAUAUGAUUGCAAGUUGCAACCUUGCAGCUUGCUCACUAAAGCUUUGAUUUGCCGUUUAUUUAUACGAUUUCUUAUACUGAUUAGUGAAUAUAAUAACGAUUAGUCGAGUCACCUGAGCUACAACAUGAAAUAGUAAACUAUGGACGACUAAAAUCUUGACGAAUACAGACAAUUUAAAUCUUAUUAUAUUCUCUUAUAUGAUUGAUGGUUAGACUCAAAACAUUUUGGGUCUUAUGAUAUUAUAGACGGUUAAAAUAAAAACAAGUUGAAUCUUUUUUAUAUAAUAGAUGGGAAGAGUAAUAACAAUUUCAGUCUUUCUAUAUAAUAUGUGGGUAGAAUGUAGCUGCGUCUCUUACUUUAUUGUCUUUAACUAAUACCGUGUUAUAUAGACAUAUACCUAUUCGUCACUUUUGUAAAUGAUAUAAGAAAGACCCUAACCAUUUCUUCGAAGCUAGGAAAUAAUAUACCCAGUUUAUAGAAUCAAUCCAGAACAAAAUUAAAGCAUCGAGUUGUUUUGUAUAAUGCUUUAAUUCAUGUUAAGAAUUUAUCGGAGGUGUAAACAUAUUGCCAAGGAUAAGAAUGGGUUCUUUGUUACAGAAAUUGGCAGAUUUUGAGAAACAUUUUUUUAUCAUCCAUUGAAUCAAGAGGUCCAGAAUGGAUCAAAGUCUCGUAUACUCCUCACGCCAAAAAUAACAAUUUCAAAUGUUUUUGUCUAUUUUCCUAUUUUAAUAAAUAUUUAUUUAAAUUAAAAUAGAGUAAACGACUGUAAAAUCAGAGAAAAUUUUAAAUAAUUAUAGUUUAACCCGGCGAAUUAUUCAAUCUAAUUGAAUAUCCAUUUGGUCAAUGCAUUCAUUAUCUUCAAAAUUCCAAAAUUGACUUAAGUAUUUUAGGUUUUAUUCAUUUUUCCUAUUUCUUCUUUCUUUUUUGAAAUAAAUAAUUUUUUCAAUCCCACUGUUCUCCUUUCAUCCUUUAAUCACUGGAGAAAAAUAUUUUUUUUCAAUAAGAGACGUCGAAUCUUUCUCAGAAAAAAUAAUGAACCAUGAAUUAUUCAGUGAAAUGAGAAAAACGAACCCAAAAUAGUAUAACUUAGUGAAACUAAGUGCAAGUAUAAAGCUUUGUACAACUUAGUAUAAUUUCAACUGUUAUAAUAUAUAAUUCAGUAUUACUAUGUGCAAUUUAUAAUGAUGGCUUAAUUUGAUAUACUUAAUUUUUUUUUUCAAAUUCAGCUUUUAGAGAAGGAAAGUGAAACCAUGCAAUCUCUGAUGGUGGAAACAUGGAACAAAGUGAGAAAAAUGGUGGUUCAGGUUGUGUAGAGAUGAAAAAGAGAGUGUUGGUAAGGGUGUAAGGGAGAAGAACGGUGAAAGUGAUAAUGGAAAAAUGUUGUUGGAGUUGAGAAAAAAAAUCAAUCAUUGCAAUCAAUGCAAGUUUGUGUAACCCGUUAAGAAUUAGUCAAACUUUCUUAUUUUUGUUUGUCAAACUUUGUAAAGUUCCGUAUUAUUUUGCUUUAAUUUUUGUGUAACCCUGUAAAAACUUGGAAAAACUUUACGUUCCAUUAAAUGAUACAAAUUCUGAUUAGUUAUACUUCCAAGUUCUUAAAACUAUCAUAAUAAUAUGAAUAAAACAACUUAAAACUAUCAUAAGCUUCCUCUCAAUAUAGAGUUUCUCAAUACAAGUAAUACAAAUGUGCCAAGCAGCCACAGCGCGCAACUAUGGCUGAUGGAUUCAACAAAGUGAUGACAUUUGAUUUGAGAGAAAUUCAAAGCAACAAUAACAACAGCACAAUCUCUAAGCAAAAAAAAAAAAAAAAAAAAGAGAGACAAAUCUGCUAUUUUGCUUCCAAUAUCGCUCAUCUACCUUCAGAGCAUAAGACAAUUCAUGUAAAGCUGCUCAUUUUUUUCCGUUGUGGCAUCAUUGUCUGCGUAGAGAUUACACACCUUCGCUUUAACAUCUUCAACUUGCUUUUUCGAGUUCAAAUCAUUCUGUCGUUUCCACUGUCUUACAGCUUUCCUACAAUUUGAGAUAUGCUCCAUGAUAUUUGGAUUAGAUGGUAUGUGAGGUGAGUUCCACCGUUUAUCAAAUUUGAAAUUUUUUCUUUUCUGGCUGGUAUGGACAAGAUAUCUGCAAGUACUGGACGAUGAUUUGACCUCGCAUACGAAGAUAUUGAACUUUUAUGUGAGAAAAUUUCUCAUGCCAAUCCUCAUUUCCUAAAAUUUGGUUCAAAUGACACCAAACAUAACCACAACUUUUUUUUUGCCCAUGACAUUUGAUUUCUCGUAUAAGGAAACUCAAGUAUGCCUGCCACAAUCCGUGAUCAUUUGGUUAAAAAAGGCAAAAAAGAGGUAUCAGACCUUCUCUUCUCUUGCCUCCAAUUCUCUUUGAGGAUAGCAUGUUAUUUCAUUGAAAUCUCUCAUAAACCAAGGUCUCUCUCUAGAAAUAGCAAAAACUGAGUCCCCAUAAACAAAUGUUGUUAUGUAAUAUUUUAAUUCAUCUAAAACUAUCUAUACAUCAAUCAUCUUAUUAUUCGAAAAUAGAAUCUGAAUUUGAAAAUCAUUCAUAAAAAAUAAUGCAAGUCAUCUCAACAGUAAACAAAUUAUUAUAUCCCAAAUCCAUUUGGAUGUUUUGCAACACUGUUUUUUUAUUCCUAAAAUAAAUCUUCAACACGAUCCCUCCGGCUCCUAUCAUAUAGUUGUCGUCAAUAUAUUAAAUAUUUCAUAUUACUAAUCAAUAAAAUUAGUCAUAGCAAAGAGUAAUUUAUAGUUUAUUCUGUUUCGUGUUAGCUUCAUGAACUCUCUCUCUCAGAACUUUUCGGUUUUGACGAUUAUAAUUAAUAUACGGAAAUGCAGCUAGAUACAAUGCUUGCCAAAGGGGAACAAAGUUAAAUAAGUUAUGGGAAACCCAGUAUCCGCUCUUUGUGUAUUGCCAAAUAGAUUUUUGUCACCAUUGUAUGAAUCUUUAGUAUAUAUUAGAUGGGAUAUCAACUAGCUAGUUGAACUAAGGCAAGAGACACAUGUUCCAUUUUCCUGUAUAAUCUUUUAAAAGGCUGGUUUAUGUUUAUGCUUAACUGGCUGUAUCUAGUAUGGUUGGCUUGCGGGCAGCUUAUACACAAGAAUCUGAGAAAACAGCUGUUUGAAAACGUCAAAACUCAAAACACUUUUUCAAUAUUAAAUAGGUGGAAAUGGUUUAAUGCAAAACCUAAUAUUUCUAAAGAUAGCUCAAAUCUUCUUUUUUUUUUAUACUAACUAGAUUCAUGCGUAUGUCCUUAGCUCACUGAGAUAUCCCAAGAUACAACUAAAAGGUAAAUAACAAAAGGAUUGCAUGCCGGCCAAAGAACGAAGGAUAAGCGCACACACAAAAAAAAAUCAACGAACUCGUCGUCGUUAACGCGUUCAAUAUGAUAUGUCAGUUUUACUUGCAUACAUAUAUUCAGUUUAAGAUAAUAAGAUCAAAUCAUGAUAAAUCUAAUUGUUAAAUGAAUAUAAUCAACCAAAGAAAGAAUCAGAAGCAAGGACGAAGUCGUCAGCGGUUACGUAUCUCAGGACAUAUUCGUUAUCUCUUCAUAACACACAUUUCACAUGAAACCGUUUAUAUAUUUGGUAAACAUAGUACACGCUGUAGCAUAAUCAGCCCAACAGAGUCAAAUAUUAUCUCUACUCUUUAUACAUAAUUCCGUUACAACACAAAAACGAAAGAUCUUUGAUACAUGGAGAAGAAUACAAAGAAAGAAACGAGAAAAGGAUGUCUUCCAACUCUCGGAUGCAUAUAUCGAUGGAAGAGCAACUGGAAGACUAAGAAAGAAGAAAAAGCGGCUCGGAAAUGUAAGUCACUUGUCUAGUCAGAUGAUAAAUUUCAUGAUGUUGUAUUCAUUGAUGAUGAAACUAAUAUUACAUGGUUGUGGUUUCGGGUUCGGGGUUUUGACGAGAUUCGGCCCGGAACCUCCUUGUAUUAAAUACAAAAGAUGAUGAAAAAUGGAAAAGAUUAGGAAAAUUUAGUUCAAGAGGCGGCCAUGCCGAUGAACCACAGCGCGCCAUUAUGGCUGAUGAAUUUAACAAAGUGAAGACAUUUGACCUGAGAGCAAUCCAAAGCAACAAAAACAGCAUCAAGAAUGAGGCGUAAAAAAAAGACAAUUACUUUCCCAGGCUUUUCAGUCAAAAGAAGAAAAAAUAGUCUGAAAACUAUUAUAACAACGUCAAUCCUUGUGUACAAACGUCGUACAAGUACUUUUUAUUCAUCUUGGUUGCAUAUCUGACAAGAAAGAUCGGUUUAGAUCAGGGUGCCUUGUGAUGUGUGUUAUAUCUACUUUUGUCAAAGGAUGCGAUUGUAUAAAAUAAAAUAAAAAGAGUUCUGAACGGAACUAGGCCAUAAUCCAUGGACUAGUUUGCAAUAUUCCCGUAUUUGAAUAAAAAAUCAUGGAGCCUAUGAUUGAUUGAUUUUUGUUGUUGGUAUAAAAUGACAUCACCGUACACGUCAACAGUCCAAGUAUAUAGGACAACAACUCUCCACUCACAAACUCCCACGUGUCCCGAUAACGUUCCCGUCUCUUUAUCUCUCUCCCUCUUCCGUCUUCUACUAGUACUCUUCUCACAUCGCUCUUCUAGCUAAACCACUGAAGCAGAGCAGAAGCGUUCGUUGAGACAAAAAGGAAAGACAAUGAUGUCUGUGAGAACAAUCUUACCACCGGCAGUUCUGCUGAUCCUCAUCGCUGUAUCGACGGCGGAGAGUAUCGAAUUCGAUGAGUCAAACCCGAUCCGUAUGGUCUCCGACCGUCUCCGGGAGGUAGAGCAAUCCGUUGUCCAGAUCUUAGGACAAUCCCGCCACGUUCUCUCCUUCGCUCGCUUCACUCACAGGUACGGGAAAAGGUACGAGAGCGCGGAGGAGAUGAAGCUCAGGUUCUCGAUAUUCAAGGAGAAUCUGGAUUUGAUCAGAUCCACUAAUAAGAAAGGCUUGUCUUACAAACUCGGUCUCAAUCGUAAGUUUUUAUUAUCUCGACUUCUCUCCAUGGGAGUGAUGUUUUGUAAGUAGUCUCUUGAGGUCAUGAAACGAAAACUGACACAUGGAUAUAUAAAUAAAUAAAUAACCGUUUCCGUCUUGGUAUCUUCUACGUUGAAUUUUUCUUUUUUAAAUAUGAUUUUAGUUUUUGUUUUGAUUCACGUGAUUGGUUUGAAGUUUGCAAAGUAGUAUAUUAUUAGAAUGAGAGACUAGUUUGCGUGACUAUUUAGCAACAAACUUAUUGUUCUGCUUCUUAGCUGCCCUGAUUAAUGUCUGUUCUUUUUCUUCCUUGCGUUAGGAUGCUUGUUUGUCUUAUGGCAGACGUUACUGGUGGUUUGAGGAUUAUGAUUGACCCAUUUCAUUUCAAAAAGAAUCUGAAUUUUCCUAACUAUCUUUUGAAUCAAUACAGAGUUUGCUGAUAUGACGUGGCAAGAGUUUCAAAGGACCAAGCUUGGUGCUGCUCAAAACUGCUCUGCCACUCUAAAGGGCAGCCACAAACUCACAGGAGAAGCUCUUCCGGAAACUGUAAGUUGCUGCACCGAAACCAUCAAGUUCCUGUUUUUCAGCUUUUCUUUAAUUUGGCUUUUGAGUCUUAAAAUUGUGUAACUGCAGAAAGACUGGAGAGAAGAUGGUAUUGUUAGCCCAGUCAAAGACCAGGGGGGUUGUGGUUCUUGCUGGACAUUCAGGUAUAUUUUGAAAUUUUUGUGGGAUCUCUUGAUACCAAACUUGAAAGUCAUAUGGUCUAUUUCGUACCUACAGUACUACUGGAGCGCUUGAGGCAGCUUAUCACCAAGCAUUUGGAAAAGGAAUAUCCCUCUCUGAGCAGCAGCUUGUGGAUUGUGCUGGAGCUUUCAAUAACUAUGGCUGCAAUGGUGGCCUUCCUUCCCAAGCCUUUGAAUACAUCAAAUCCAACGGCGGCCUCGACACAGAGGAAGCUUAUCCUUACACCGGUGAAGAUGGAACCUGCAAGUAUUCUGCUGAGAACGUCGGUGUACAAGUCCUUGACUCAGUCAACAUCACUCUGGUAAGCAUCUUUUACGGAUUCUUGGAUCUCGCCUGCCUUACAAAUUAUAUGUAAUGUGUAAUGAGGAUUCAAACAACGACAACAGGGUGCUGAAGAUGAACUGAAGCAUGCGGUUGGAUUGGUACGACCAGUGAGCAUAGCAUUCGAGGUUAUACACUCGUUCCGGCUUUACAAGAGUGGAGUUUACAGUGAUAGUCACUGUGGACAGACUCCAAUGGUGAGACUUUCUUCUUCAAACUGCUUAAUGAUGCUAAAUUAAUCUUAAAACUCCUUUGCAAGUAGAAUCAAUUGAGCUUAAUAGCUAGUGUUUUAAUUCAUUGUUUUUAAUGUGGUAUUAGGACGUGAACCACGCGGUUUUGGCGGUUGGUUAUGGAAUUGAAGACGGUGUUCCAUAUUGGCUUAUAAAGAACUCAUGGGGAGCGGAUUGGGGUGACAAAGGUUACUUCAAGAUGGAGAUGGGGAAGAACAUGUGUGGUACGUUCUUUAACUCUCAUUAAACCAUUAUCAGACGAUGUUAACAGAUAAUCAGAAUUUCAGAUGUUAUCAUAUUUGGUCUCUCUCUCUAUAUAUGUUGUUGAUUCGUUCUUGAACUGCAGGUAUCGCGACAUGUGCAUCGUACCCGGUUGUGGCCUAAGAUGAUCAGCGAAUGUCAGUCUCUCAGUGAUCAGAUUACAAUCAUGUUCGCAUAUAUAUUGGAUUUAAGACAUUACUUGAAAAUCACUUGGGAGUGCAUAGUGUUUUAUUAUGCUUGUUGUAACAUAAGGUCUGUUCAUAUGUACAAAAUGAUGCAUACACUACAGACGAUCAACUUUAUAAUGUAUCCAUGUUAAAUUUAAGGACAUAAAUUUAUUUGGACCUUAGUAGCUUUGUUCUUGAUCCUAAGCCAAUUUCAAUUAAAAAUAGUUACAAUUUAUGAUAUAUACAUUCUAAAUUUUAAGUAAAUAUAUUGAUUUACACUGAACUUUUACAUUGGCUUACUUGCGCAAUUAUUUAAAGAAAACGUUUUAUUUAUGGAAAUUGCAGCAGAGGAUCGAAAUUAAGACAGGCAUAGGCAAAAAAAAAAAAAAAAACCCACGAGAUAAAAUAAGAAUCGCGGAGAGAGUCUGAGUAUGAUAUACAUAUAAUCAAAGAAGAAUGAGAUUAGUUGACUGAAAAAUAUCAGGGCCAAACAAUUGUUUUUCUUCCCUUGCUGCAGUGCUGCUGCUACUUUGAACUCCUCUCAAAUCAAACGUCUUCACCUUAUUGAAUCCAUCACUCACUGUCCCACGUCUUUCUGCCGUCGGGCCGUCGCAGCUGAAUGCUUGUACUUGCGGAAGAGAUCCAUUCAAAUCUCAGAUUUAACACAACUCCCUAUUUUUCUUGAGUCAAACUAUUAGCUUUUUUAACCCCUAAACUUAAGUUUACCAGCUAGAAGAACAUUCGUUUUCAUUUUAUUUGAACUUCACAUACAUAAAGAAUAUUUUAUUUUCAAAAUAGUUUGUACUCUUUCUAAAUAAUUGUAUAUCAACUUAUUUGAACUUGAAUCAUAUAUCAACUUAUUUUCUAAAUAAGUAAUAUUCAAACAUAAAAAAUUGUAUUUUUUCAUGUGAAGUACGUACCCCUUCUAUUUCUUUUCAUAAGACGUGUUAGUAAAUUCUUUUUUUUUCCAACUUAUUUGACGUGUUAAUUCUUAUGUAAGAAUUUAAAUCCUUUUCCAAUUUUAGCUAACCGUACAGUUAUUAUGAAUUCUGAUCAAUAAUCAUAUUUAGUUCUAUGCAUACGCCUUCAACAAAUAUCAUAUAAAAUUAAAGGGAGAUGAAGUUCUAAAAAAAAAAGUUUUUUUUUGUACUUUCUUUUGCGAGUGGAAAUAUAAGCCUAUCUCGUAAGGAUAAGAAUCGUAUUCUGUUCUGUUCUAUUAUAUUCUAUAUACGUGAUAUAUACGGUUCUAGCUCUAAUUAACAAUGGCUAUCAACUAUGGUUAAAAUGUUAUGUGAAAUAUGCGUACCUCCUUCAUAUUCUUGUAUCGCCUGAUCUUGGAUUGACUCUUGCUUGGCCUGUGUACCGUUCUUGUUCGCAGAGCUUGAAUCAUAUAUCAACUUGUAAAGUUCAUCUCCAGGUUCCGAAUGUAUUACUUCUUUCUCAUUCAAGCUCUCAUUCUUGAUGGAAGUGCUUGAAUCGUGUAUCUGUGACUUGCUAUCCACAUACUCUCCUAACCAGAAUUCUUCGGUCUCUUUCAAUUUAUCUUCGUCUUUUACUGGAAUCGGCUUCGAAAAUUCAUUGGCUUUCGUAGCAGCUUUUUCAUUUUUCUUGCUCUUCCUCCUCCAGAGAUAUAUGUUUCUCAUAUUUGGAAGACAUCCAAUCCUCAUAACUCUCUUUAUAAGCUUUUUAAUUGUUGGAUACCGAUCUGCCUUUUUACUAUAUAUAGGAACUGAAUUAUGGAGAUAUAAAGAUCUGACUCUUGUUUCGACAUCAGUUAAAUCUCUGUAUGUGUUAUAUAAAUACAGUUUCAUGUUAAUGUAUGUUCAUAUGCUUACCAUGGAGACACGGAAGAGAUCAUAACGUGAUAUGCCAUACAAACUCGUAGACAUCACGUCACUGCUAGGCUCAUUUCUUCACUUCUUUAUUUGCACACCAUGUCACUGAUUAUAUGACCACCUUAACUUCUAACUAAUCAACAUUAGAAUGUAAUACUUCGUGGAAUUCUUCUUUUAUACCGGGGACAAAAUAAUAAUCUACAUGCUACGCUACUUCUAUAUAUAUCUUCCAUCAAUACAACAAUUACCCUGUGAUUACUUUAAUACUUUUUAAUCACUUAAAUAUGAUGUAAGCAUCGGAAUAUGAUAGGAAAAUUACGUUAAAAGUAUUAUAGAACUGUGUACCUAGACUUUUGGAAAGGAAGAGGAAAAGAUCAACGUAAAACGCAGAUACAAGUUUCACACGAUAAGACCAGAAUUAAUCGUACGUGCACAACGAUAAUUGGACAAUAAUAUUUAUUUGGUCGGUCAUAGAAAUACUUAGACCAUCUCCAAUGACUUACUCUAUUUUUUACUUUAAAAUAAAGCAACUCUAUAAUAGAAGUUGAGUUUGCUCCAAUGGUACUAUAUUUUAGAGUAAAAAAUACAGUGAUGAACAAAAAACAAACAAGUUACUCUAUAUUUAGAGUAAACCUAUUUUCUACUAUUAUAGAGUGAGAAAUAAAGUACCAUUAGAAUAUUUUUUACUCUAAACUCUAUUUUAAAGUGAAAAAUAGAGUGAGAUAUAAGAUGCCCUUAGACCUGCAAUCCCAACGUCCCUAAUCAAUCGUACGUUGUUAUGACUUUCAUCAACGUUCUUCAAAAUAUAAAGGUACGAAAGUUACAAAAAAAUAAUACUCCCUCUGUUUCUUAUUACUUGAUGUUUUACUACAAUGCACAAAUAUUAAGAAAAACUAUUGUUUAUUAAAAGUAUCACUAAAUUAUAAUAUAAAAUUAGUUUAUUUAAUUAUAAAUGAAAAUAAUAAAAAUCUAAUUGGUUACACAGUUUUUGAUAAAAUUAAAGUUACAUAGAUUUGUGCAAACUUCAUCUAUUAUGAAACAACAAAACUUCUCUAAAACAUUAAGUAUAUUGAAACGGAGGGAGUAAUAUAUAAAGGUAUGAACAUCAACAUUAAUCAAUACUUAUUUUUGUUUUGGAAAUUAGGUAGCUUUCUAAACGAACAGUAAAAUGAGAUCCAUAAUGGUCAAAUGGAUCUCAUCAAACCUAGUCCUGAAGAAAUCUUUAACCAAUAUUCACACAAACGUUGUUGUUGUUUUCCGAGACAUCCAUUCACAAAAGCAUAUAACAUAUGUAUACUAGCUACUCUUUGACUCUAACUCUACACAAUAUUCUUUUUAAGUACAAAGUACUCCUCUCGUUUGAGAUGGUAUGGGAGAAAUGAACUCACUUGGAAAUUAUAGUCUCAAAGAUUGUAUAAGAACUCAAAAUAAAAAACUCUCUUUAUUAAUCUCUCUUAAAAAAACACUCAAAAACCUUAAGCUUCUAAACCACAAUCUCUAAAACUCUCAAAGGAAUGCAACACUCUUAGGAGAUUAUAUUUCCUAAACUCAUUAAGAAACUAUUCUAAUCCUAUCUCCAUUAGAAUUGGUGUAACUUGAGGUCGAGUUAACUUUAUGUUUAUCUACAACAUUCUCUCUUUUAAACUUGAAGUUAAUUAUAUCUUGAACUCCAACCAAUUAUCUCAUCUCUUUGAACUUUAUUCUUCCAAGUGCUUUGGUUAAAAUGUCUGAUCUUUGCUCCACGCCUGGUACAUGUUGAACCUCUACUUGCUCAUUUUCGAUACAUCCCUUAUGAAGUGAUAUCUCUUAUGAAUAUGCUUGAUGCAUCCAUGAAAUACAAGAUUCUUCGUUAAGGCUAUUGCUGACUUGUUGUCGAUACAUAUCAUCACCUUCUUGCAUGAUUGUUCGGUGAUCUCUUCCAAUAGUUCUUGCAGCCAUAUUGUUUUUUGGCAGCUUCAGUGGCAGCCAUAAAUUCUGCUUCACAAGAUGAUAAUAUGACUGUUUUCUGCGAGCACCAUGCAAUAGGACAUCUAUUCAGGUUUAUCUCCAACAAAAAUGAAUUUAUUGGUAUAUGAUAAUCUGAUUGUAGCAACCCAUCUAGCUAACUAGGAGAUUUUGGCUCAGAUAUGAGUUUAAGAAAAGCCGAUCUAUAAUAGUGGAGAUUAGAUUCCCUGAUGACCCUGAGUGGGAGAUAUCCAAAGAAGUCAUUGAGUUUUGGAGAAGUAAAAGAGAAGUUGAGUCUACUCCUCAAGAAGAAUGAUGUUGAAACCCAAGUCUCCAAUAUUCUGCCCGGAGCUCACCACAUAAGAGAGCAUCGUCCUUUAGCAAUAUAAAUUUUGAUGGCUUUCAUCAAAAACUAAAGGCUUACAUGUGUUUGUUUAGUCUUUGAACAUUUGCUUCCCUCUUCAUUUUGUUCUUACAUAGUGGUUUAAAACCGUGAUUUGAUUAGGAUGGUUCUGGCCCGUCUCAACAGAAAGUAAGGCCCUGAGAUGAAAAAAAAUGUUGGAACCCUUUUAUAGAAAAGAAACAAAAAUUGGAACUGUUUUUUUUUUAAGAAUUUUUUUUUAAAAUAAUUUUGGGCCCUAGUUUGAACCAAAAUAUUUUAAAUGAUGUAAAGGGCUCUGUGCAAAUGCACACUGAGCACAUGCACAAGGCCGGGCCUAUUCUGCAUACCAAGAUUGAUUUGUACGUGUAUACAACAAUUUAAUUUCGAUAUUACUGUGUUCCCAACGAAAUGUUAUUAUGUUGUUGUGUACACACCUUGACGGCUUGAAUGUGAUACUAUCUGCCAAUGUCUGAGGUAUCCUCAUUCCAUAGUAUCAUUUAUAUGUAUAUUAAUUAUAAAACAUUCAUGAGAGUUAAUCAAUUCUUUAUUUAAAUCAUCUUAAUUUUAGUUGACUAUUUAUAAACACGUCUUAAAUAAAUUCGUUAUGAAAAUUAAUUGUUCUUAUUUAAUCGAGGAAUCAAUUUGUUCAUAUUGUGUUGAAUAGCAAAUGCUCAAUUUUUGAAAAAGUUGCAGGCAUGCACUGAUGUGCACCCCAACACUUGGAGAAAAGAAUUUUCAAAAAAAAAAAAGAUCCAAAACGCAUAAGGGCAAAUUGGUAAAACUAGAACCACAAAGAAAACGCGAAAACCCUAAAGCUCGUAGCUAUAAGUACCUGAUUAGUUUCAGUCUUAGGGUGCGCUCUCAUUUCAGUUUCGUAGCCGCAAGUCCUCCUCUCAGAUUCUUACUUGCAGGUGAGAAAAAACUCUCUCUAUAGAUUUACAAUCUUCUUAGAGUUAUCGAUGCUGUUUCUGUAUUAUUGUUUAUAUCUCCGUUGCUUAGAUCCUUAUGAUAAGCUCUAUGUUGACUGUGAUUAUCGCUUGCUAGAAGCUGUUAAACUGUUCGAGUUUAAGAUCUGAGUAUUCAUCGAUCUGUUAGAUUAUUAUGAUUCUGAUGAAAUCGUACUGCGAUCUGUUGAUUUGUGCUAUUGAAUCAUUUCUUUGAUGCGUAUGGUUGAUCAUGUUAUAUAUUUAGUUAGAUUUAAUGUAUUGUCGCUAGAUCUUUGAUUCUAUUUUCAUAGAUUGUAGCAAGUCAAUGGAUCCGUAUUGUAUUUUGAAUGAUUUUAUUUCUUCUUGUUCUAAUGGUUUGAUCGUGUUGUAUUGUCAUGCAGCUAUGGGUAAAGAGAAGUUUCACAUCAACAUCGUGGUCAUUGGCCAUGUCGACUCUGGGAAAUCGACCACCACUGGUCACUUGAUCUACAAGCUUGGUGGUAUUGACAAGCGUGUCAUUGAGAGGUUCGAGAAGGAAGCUGCUGAGAUGAACAAGAGGUCUUUCAAGUACGCGUGGGUGUUGGACAAACUUAAGGCCGAGCGUGAGCGUGGUAUCACCAUUGAUAUUGCUCUCUGGAAGUUCGAGACCACCAAGUACUACUGCACGGUCAUUGAUGCCCCUGGUCAUCGUGAUUUCAUCAAGAACAUGAUUACUGGUACCUCCCAGGCUGAUUGUGCUGUCCUCAUCAUUGACUCCACCACUGGUGGUUUUGAAGCUGGUAUCUCCAAGGAUGGUCAGACCCGUGAGCAUGCUCUUCUUGCUUUCACCCUUGGUGUCAAGCAAAUGAUUUGCUGCUGUAACAAGGUGAGCUAACUUCUUGUUUUCUUGUUUACUUCUUAUAUUAUUUUGGUUUGUUUGCUAACAGAUGUGUUUAAUUUAUCUGGAUCUCAGAUGGAUGCCACUACCCCCAAGUACUCCAAGGCUAGGUACGAUGAGAUCAUCAAGGAGGUGUCUUCCUACUUGAAGAAGGUUGGGUACAACCCUGACAAAAUCCCAUUCGUCCCCAUCUCUGGAUUCGAGGGUGACAACAUGAUUGAGAGGUCCACCAACCUUGACUGGUACAAGGGACCAACUCUCCUUGAGGCUCUUGACCAGAUCAACGAGCCCAAGAGGCCCUCGGACAAGCCCCUCCGUCUCCCACUUCAGGAUGUCUACAAGAUCGGUGGUAUUGGAACGGUGCCAGUGGGACGUGUUGAGACCGGUAUGCUCAAGCCCGGUAUGGUUGUGACCUUUGCUCCUUCAGGGUUGACCACUGAGGUUAAGUCUGUUGAGAUGCACCACGAGUCUCUUGUGGAGGCACUUCCAGGUGACAACGUUGGGUUCAAUGUUAAGAAUGUUGCUGUGAAGGAUCUUAAGCGUGGGUAUGUUGCAUCUAACUCCAAGGAUGACCCAGCUAAGGGAGCUGCCAACUUCACAUCCCAGGUCAUAAUCAUGAACCACCCUGGUCAGAUCGGUAACGGAUACGCCCCAGUCCUCGAUUGCCACACGUCCCACAUUGCAGUCAAGUUCUCUGAGAUCUUGACCAAGAUUGACAGGCGAUCUGGUAAGGAGAUCGAGAAGGAGCCCAAGUUUUUGAAGAAUGGUGAUGCUGGUAUGGUUAAGAUGACUCCAACCAAGCCCAUGGUUGUCGAGACUUUCUCAGAGUACCCACCGUUGGGACGUUUCGCUGUCAGGGACAUGAGGCAGACCGUUGCUGUUGGUGUCAUCAAGAGUGUUGACAAGAAGGACCCAACCGGUGCCAAGGUGACCAAGGCCGCAGUGAAGAAGGGAGCCAAAUGAUGAGACUUCUCUCGUCUUUGUGUUUUCUUUGCUUUUAAAAAAACUUUGAUGGCGUUUGAGCCUUUGUUCUUUUAUUUUCUGUGACUUUCUCAUCUCUACCUCCUUUUUUUUUCAUAUCUCUGAGACUUAUGGGUUACAAUUAUGCAGUUUCUGGAUAAUUUUGCGUAGUGUGUUUUAGUGUUUUGUUUUGCUACAAAUUAAUUUUCUUUGUUCUUGAAUGCCUUUUUGUUUUAGCUUAAACCCGGCCACGUUCUGUCGUUAACCUGAGAGCAUCUUUGUUUAAACGCCCGUCCAGAAUUUAGGAGACACUCUUCAUGUUCUUAUUCAUCAAUAUUACCAAAUGGAGAAUGAGUAUAUCAUUGUUAAUGAUACUAGAGAUUUUUCCGGGCUACGCCCGGGUUAUUUUUCUAUAUAUUCAAGGGUGAGUUAGUGAAAUAACCAAAACAAAAAAAUAAAAUUAAAUUUGUAGAGAGAUAGGAAGAGAAGAAAGGAGAGAGAAUGAGAUUUUGGUUACUUGGCAAAUUUUAGUUUUUUUUGUAUGGUUAUAGAGUGCGAUUUCUGUAUAUUCAAAUUAAAUUUAGAUUAUUUAUAAUUUGUGUUUUUAAUAUAUUUUUUCACUGAUACUACUAUAUAAACUAUUAGAAAAUUUAUAUUUUUUGUAUUGUUUUGGUAAUAACAAUUUUGAAAUUAUUGAAAUUCAUUUUUUUUUCAAUAUCAGAAAAUACACAUAACCUGGUACGCAUGUUGAAUAUUUUUUAAUUAUUCUUAUUUAAAAUUCAAUUGUUCCUUUUCUCGUUUAUUAUUUUUUCAAAUGAAAAUAUGGUUAAACUACUAUAUAAUUCACUUUAUUUUAAUAUUAAUAUUAACCAAUAUGAAUAUUUAAAUUUUAACUAUUGAUUAUUGAUUCUUUGCUACUAAAAAAUCUAUAUAAAUUUGUUCUUGUGUUAAAAGCAGUGGCGAAAUGAAUAGCAGCUGAAAUCUAAGAGCAAUGUACAUUAAAAGAAUCCUGAGAUCAUGUCAACUGUGUUUCUUUCCAUGCAGCAAACAAAUUCAAAAUAAAAAUAUCAAAAACAUAAUAAUAGUAUUCUCUAAGAGCUAUUUGUAUGUUUUGCCCUACAAAAUCCAAACAGUUUUGUUAUUUUUUUAUAAGAAAAAAAUCUUAACAAUUUAUUCAUAGUCAAUUUAAUCAAGCAUAUUAUUAAUUUUAGAAAUAAGUAUAUUUUCUUAGUUCAAACUAUUCCGAAAGAAAAUAUAGAGUCUUAGCUCCGACUACAUCUCUAACCACCCUUAUGUUUGCUUUUAUAAUAGCAUUUAGAAAUACAUUCACUCUAAUCUAAAAGAAUAGAGAUUACUAUUUUUUUCUAUAAAUAGAAACAUAGGUAGAAAUCCUAUAUUUUAUACUCUAUAAAUAGAAAUUGCUAUUUUAUAAUUAUACAUUGGAGUAAGUUCCAUUUCUGUUAUAGACAUCUAAUAUUCUGUAGAUUAAAAAUAGAAAAUACAUUAGAAAUGGUCUCAUUCACAAUUAAAACAUCUUUUUACAUUUUUUUUUUUGACAGCAUCUUUUUACAGUUUCCAAUUCAACUUAGUUGGGGUUACAAUCAGCCACUUUAACUUGAGGGCCUCAUUAUCUUUUUUUUUUUGAGCAAAUAGCGCCUCCUUAUCUAGAACUUUGUUUCUUAACUUAUACUUACCAUCCCUAAUUCUUUUAAUUAAUGUUUUGUUUUUUUUAGGUUUUGUCAACAGUUUAAUUUUUAUGAUCAUCCCCUAUACAUUAUUUGAGAAGUGAUUUUGCCAUAUGUCUUUCUACAAUUAUUUUCACAAAAAUAAUAUGUCAUGGUUACUAAAAUUAAUGACAUGACUUAUAACUUAAUAUGACAUGGAAAAUUACAUUUAAUGUUGAAUUUAUAUUUUUUCGUAAACUUUUUAAAAUAUAAUAACAAUUCAUAUAUUACAUUUAAUGUCGAUUUAUAUUUUUGGAUUUUUUUUAGAAUAUUGCAAUAACUCAUAAAUCCUCAUUAAAAUAAAUAUAUUCGAAUAAGGCAUUACAAAUUUUGAAAUAUUAUUUAAUUAUAUAUUUUUAAAUUAUACAAUUGUAUUACAAAAAUGUAUAUAGAUUUUUUUUAGAAAAUUAUAAAAAUUUAAUCGUAAAAUCAUUAGUUUCUUAUAUAUAUACAAAUUUUAUAAUUAUGCAAACCUUUUUGCAAAUUUAUUUAAUAUAUUUAAUUAAAAUAAAUAGAUAAAACCUAUCUAUUAAUUUUAAAUAUAUACAUGCAUAUUCUUAAAUAUAAUUUAAAAAAACAAAAUUAUUUUAUUUUUAUGUUAAUUUUAUGUUUAAUUAAACAAAAUUUAUAUUAAAAUAUUGAUAAAAAAUAAAAUUUACAGUAUUAAUAAAAAAUUAUUUUCAAAUAUAAUUUAUAUUUGUCUGUUAAAAAAUAUUUUAAAUUUCUACUGCACUUGGUGCAGGAAAACACCUAGCUUCUUAUUCAAAGAUAUGUUUGCAUUGUUUUAAAUCUCGUCUAGAUUAAUAACUAAAAAGAUAAAUUUUCUCUUAAAAUAUUAAAUUUAUGCUACAUCACAUAAUUUCUAAUAUUAAGACUCAUAUGUACUUAUACAGAUAGGAUUAUCAUGUGCGUUGUGAUUGAUAGAACGAAGAGCAACACAAAAAGAAUCUUCUUCCGGUAAAAUAUUUUUCGAGGCGCACCAUUUAAUAUUGCUGCUUACAUUCAUGAUCUCAUAAGCAUGCGCUUGGUGGGGAGAAGGUGAUAUUACAUGAUCUUCGGAAUAAUUAAGAGUAGUACCAUUGCUUCUGACUCUAAAUCCGAUCCUACCCUCCCUAAAUGAGAUGACCCCUAGAUGAUUGACCCCCGAGAGCUACGUCCACCAGUUAGUUUGGAAGCAGCAUCAUAGUUUCUCUCCACCAUUCCUUCAGUUUCAAAAGCUGCAGGAAAAAUACUCGUGUAGCCCUUAUAUUAUCCACAUUCUGAAUCUAUCAUGAACAGAUUGUAAGAUACAAUACCUCUUAAAUAUUAUGGAGGGGGUAAUUUUUAUUGUAUAUAUGAAUAAUUUCAGUUUAAAUAUUAUAUGAGGGCUCAAGAAAAUACAUACACUUAAUCCUUAAAAAUUGAUUAUGAAUAUGUAUAUUUCUAAGUGGCUUUAUGAAGUUUUUUAACAUUGAACUUAGUUAAUUUAAUCAACACUUGGAAUCAUAUUCAAUCGUAUAUCUAAUGUAAAUCGUAUUGAACUUAGUUUUUUAACAUUGAACUUAGUUAUUUUCAUUGUUUUGUCUAACUAAAUUUUCAAUAAUAAAACUUACCUUUUUAGGUGUUUCAAAAAAACUUGCUAUUUUUAUUAUUAAAAGCUAUAUAUUACAUAAUGAGAAAAACGAAUAAAUAAUGAACUAAAAUAAUUGUUAAAGAUACACAAACUAAAUUUUACUUUGGCUUUAGAAGUAAUUUUUAAGGGUCUUAGAAUAUUAUUUUUUGAGUUUUUUAUUCAACCUGUUCUACAUAUAUUUUGAUUUACUCCACCUAUAUUUCAAAUAUGUAUUGGAAAUGUCUUAAGCUUGUGCUUAGAGUACAAAUGCCACUCGGUCACCACCAUUACGAAAGCAUAACAAAUAUUUGAAAGUAAUGCAUGAUCAUUUACGAAAGCAUAACAACAACUCUGUUAUACAUUUUUUUUCUAAGUAUGUUAUAAAUUUUCAACACUUUUGAAAUGUGCGUACAUAGAGAGGGUGUUAUCAUGCCCAAAGCGUACAUGUAUGUACAUAUAUUGUUAAAUCUGUUAAUGCUCCUGAAAUGUUAGACGCACAUUUUACUACAUUGAACGUUCAUUGGACACAGAAGAGCUCAUAUAUGAAUUACAUCGUUUUUAAUCCUUAUUUAGAUGUAGUAUUUUUAAUUUUGUUAUGAAAAUAUGUGCUAGCAUGUGAAGCCAAUCUUAUUGAUUUAAUGAGAUGUGAUAAAUUUGAUAAAUAAGCAUUUUAUAGAGAGUUUCAAAACCAUAUCAAAAUCCAUUAGAGUACUCAAAAGUUUAAAAAAGAAGGAAAACAACAUCGAUACAUAAGCAUUAUUCAAAAAGUAUUGCAUUCAGGUAAUUCAUCAUCUUCACUUAAGCCACUCGUCCUUCUUGGUCACCUUGGUAGUUGCAAUUGCUAGCCUUUUGGAGGUGAGCCCACUUGAAGAUGUUCUCACAGUUGCUGAUUUCCAACGAUCUUACCACUUACGUCCACCUUUUGGAGGUGAGACCACUUGAAGAUGUUCCCACAAUCAAUGUUCUCCCCUGCGUUAGUCUCUUUGUCGAAAAAUAUAUUGCUCCCUGACGUGGCGUUCAAGAACAACCGUCCUGCAAAAAGAAAGCAAUGAUUUUUGUUCCAAGAAAUAUUAUGUUCGUCCUACUAAUCAUAAAACAGAGAAUAAGAGGAAGAGCAAGACACUAAUAUAGUGAUUCUAAUUUUAAUAAAAAAUACACCUACAAUUUACCUUCUUUAGCGGAUCUUUGUCAAGGUCAAUCUCAUAAACAUGUUCAAAACCAAACCCGAACCAGUAGCAAGUAGAUUCAUGUAACCACAAAGAAAAAUAAAGCUUGUUCCAUCAGCCAAUGCAAAGACUGUGUGUUAAUGUUUAUGAAAUGAAGCUUGUACCUUAUUUGUUAAAUCCUUCUUCAGCGCUCUCGUUUCAGCAACCUAUAACUCCCAUCCGUCAUUACCCCCAAGAUGUUAAACUUUGGAAUUGUACUUGUUCAAUUUGUUGAUGAGCUCCACAUACUUAAAUCUAAAUCUGUUGUGCUCUGAACCAUAAAAGAUCUAUUUCUAUCAUUCUCUUGUUCCUCCUACUUCAAUACAGUUCAAAACAGCUUGUUAGAAGUCAUCAAAGAGGCACUUGUUACAAAUUGUAAAACGUAAACAAAAUCAAAAUUAUUUAUUACAGCUUACCUUAGAGCUUCGAUCUGCACUGGGAAACAUAGACUCGGCUGUCUUAAACUUCACAGCUCUACAACCAUAACUUAACAGUGUUUUAAGAGAGCCAAAGACGAAGAAACUGUUAGAGAUAAUUGGCAAAAAAAAAAAGCAGAGUUUUUAUUUAACUAUGUGAUCUCCCCUGUUGUAGGAAACUAUUGUUAUUAGUUAAUGUCUAAGGCUCCUGUUUAAUUGGAAAAAAAAAAACAGAAUAUAUGAACGUACCAUGAUCUGAGCUGCCUGCGAGGAAGAUGUCCGUCCCUGAAGCAGAAUACUAAAUGAUCAGAACUGAUUGGCUAAAAAUGUACUACCAGAAUCAGGCACAAGCCACACACCUCUGUUAGAAGUCAUCUUAGGCUCUUGGCCCAUACUGGAACAAUGGCUUUAGCAUUAAUCCAUCCGCAAACGUCCUCCAGAAGCGCACAACUUGUCUAGCAGCUGUUUUGAUUCUGCUCUUUAGCAUACAAUAUGAGUGAUGACGUAACCUCAAUUCCAAUUACAUUUAGUCAACAUGCACAAAAAAGAUUCAACUACUCUAAAACUGAGAAAAUCUUACCAUUUUAGCGAUGACGCCUCUACAAUCUUCAUCAAUUGCUCUCUUCAUGACAGAGUAGUUUGUACUGGGUGGAUCCAUCCCAAUGACGAAAGGUUAAAACCAACAGAUUCCCCUUUCUUUAACCUGUUGAUCGAUGUCAGAGACAAACAGUUCUCUUGAUUACAUCUUCCUUCUGAGCCAAGCUGGUUCUUUUGUUCACUCUUCUCCUCCCUUGGCCAAAGCUCCUUCCCUGCAGCAACCGGUAAAAAGGAGAUACCCAAUAAUCACAAAACUUAUACCCAAUCAAGUAAUCAACAGGAAACUAUUGCACACAUCUCUUUCACGUUUUUAGCAAGAUAAUAUACCAAUCUCAAGCCAUCUGAAGAAUGUUUCCACAGAAAUAAUGUUUACUUUCUGGUUAAAACUUAAAAAAAACUGACAUACCAAAAAGAAAAUUUGCAACCAUGUUCUCUAAGUGUAACUGAAUAAAGCAAAAGAAAACAGCUAAUACCUAUAACUGAACAAACCACACACAAAGAGUAAAACUGCUUCUCAUACAAUGAUUGAUCAAGCGAUAGACUCACAGAACACAUAAAGCUCGAAACUUUCUGUUAUCUGUUAACACACAAAGCUUAUUCAACAAACCAACAAAACACACACAAAAGGUCAAAACUUUAUAUAUACCGUUCAGUACGAAGUGAUACCUUGAAUCUACAUGACUCUCCACAUCCCAUAGGAACGAACCAAACGUCACAGCCUCCAACACAAGCCUCUUCAGUCCCUUGAAACUGAUCUGUAUAUGCUCGUCCUUGGACAGUUCAUUCCAUUUCCGCCGAUAACGGGACCGGAAGAAGCACCGGUUUUGCCGUGUGUUUGGAUCAGACAUUGCGAUCCAGCCGUUGCACCUCUGGAUCUCACCGGAUUUACAACGCCAGAUGAGAUGUCAGUUUUAGAUACGGAUUUGAUCGGACUCUUCGAUACAGCCGCUCUACCUGUGGAUUUCAUUGAGCCGUCGCCACCGGAAGAGACACCUAUUUGAGAGAUGGGCUUGUCGGCAUUGGAGGUGUUCGCCGCAUCAUCGUUCCUCUUCAAUGAGUCGGAGACGUCGGAUACCUUCAUCGCAAUGAGCAGUUGAGAGGAUAGAACAGUUUUAGAUCCAAAAAACACAUCGAUCAAGAGCUCUAUAUAGAAUCGCGGACGGAGAAAGCGAUAACUAUCUAUUAAUGAGAUUUAAAGCUCGGAGGAGUGGGGGAAAUUGAUUGCCCGCGUUAAAGAUCUGUGAAACGGAGAAGAUGAAGAGAAAGUGGGAUCGUUAGAACGAAGAAGAAAAGAAGUAGGGGAUCGGAAAAUCAAUCAGGAGGCUUCACCGAAGCAUGUGCUCUCCGGGUCUCAAAUUCCAAACAUUAACGGGCCGUGAGGAUGAGAGGCCCAAAUGCAGAGCGCAGCGUGUCUGACGUGGCUCAAGGAUGGUUUCCUAUCGGCUGAUUAUUUUUGAGGAUGUGGAAGCAUGAGGGGAGCCCUUAUUCCCCUUUUAGUAUAGUAUAGAUACUCUAACAAAUUACAAUGCUUUUGAACCAGAAUUAGUUUAACAACGAUUAGCAAACAAACUACCAAUUAAUAAGCUUUGACUAAAUGAUUAAAGUUUAGGAGCGGUUAUCCAGCUAAGAACUAAAAACCAAAAUAAAAAGGGAAGAUGCCAAAAGAGGCAGCAAGCAUCAAAACAUCAUCACACCAACGGCAAAUAAACGUGUCAAUAACAGUGAAAACAUUCAGGAAUAUUUUAUAGAUUUUUUUGAUCUGCAGUUUUACAACAAGCAACAUCUCAGUGAGAUCUACGAAGAGUUUUUGGGGUUUCUUUUAGGCAGCUUUAGCUGUGUGAGAAGAAAAGCUCCAUGACCCUAGAUCUUGGAAUAAAGCAACUAGAUCUCUAACAUCUUCACUCUCUCUCAUCUCUUGGAGCCAUAAUUGCUCGUGGAAUCUCUCCACACCCAUUUCUUCUUCUGCACCAUGUCUCCUGGAUGCACCUUUACCUUCUGAUCUCCUUUUCUUCUUCAUCACCUUCCUCCUCUUGUCAUGAUCUGCCAUUCUUCAACAUAAAAAGAAGAGAAACAUAAGUAAAAAAGAAAUAAACAGAGUAGAUCUCAAGAAAAAAGAUGAAGAGAGGAAACAUAUUUUACUCUUUGGUGAGAGAUAGCUGCCGAGAGAUCCCAGAGAUGCAAAGAGGGAAGCCAUAGUUGCCACUAAGAGUUGUUGAAAGCAUUUCUUUUCCUCUGUAGAUUCAAGAAUUUGGGAGAGACCUAAAGAAAGAGAAACAAAAGACAAUAUAUUGAAUUGGGAAAGGAUUAAGGAGUCUAUAGAUUAUAUAUAGUCGUACUAUGUAGUUAAUACUAUCCACUUUGGUAUUGUAAUAAACGAGAGAUAAGACUUUUGUCUUGUUGUCUGUGCAAUUAAUUAGUAGUAGCAGUAGGUAUAGUAUCUUCUUGUUCACCCAUUCAAAUGCAUUAAGAUACUUGACUAAAUCUUUCAUUAAGGUAGAGUAUUGAUAUUUUUAUUAUAAUACUCAGUUUUAGUGUAGUUUAAUUAAAGAAACUACUUUUAUAACUUUUUAUUUUUUUAAUUAUUUGGAAUAUAUCAAAUUACACAAUAAACAUAUCUAAUUGUAUUAAUUAGUGAAACUUAACUAAUAUCAAUUGAAAAUAAUAGUACGGCUGAAUAUACAAUUCCGACCAGUCACAUCCUAUGAUUUCAGUAGCGGUGAAAGUAAAAAUAUCGGUUUCACUUUACCGCUUUUCUCCUCAUGAGUCCCAUGACAAUUGACAACCCAAAGUUUUGGAUUCUUCUCUUCUUUCUCCUUUUUAACUUUUUUUUCCUUCUCUUCUCUCACUUGCAUUUGAUAAAAUUAGGACAAGGACAAUAACGCUUUUCAGUUUUCCUUUUUCUUCGCGAGAAUCAAUGCAGUCUCGAUUGUUAAGUCCUCAACUUGUUCUCUAAAACCAACUUGUUUAAGAGUUCCUUGUUUAAUAACGUUAAUUCCACCUUUAACUUCUAUAUCAAGCAGAGUUUUAAACACAGCCACGUUAGUUUUGACGUCACUGUCACCAUUUAUUACACAGUAUGAAAGACAUAUCAAGCAGAACCAUCAUUCAUCCAAUACCAUUUAAUAGAAUUGAUGAUUGUAACCAAUCUUGCAAUGUUUUGCAAGAGAGAAAAAGACUACUAAAAUAAUAUUGUGAUAGUAAAAAAUUUCAAAGAAUGUUUUAUUGAGAUUAUACGUACAAAUAGAAUGUGUAAAUCUUAGUUGGUAUGGAUAAGUGCCAUAGCGAUACAAUGGCUCAAGUUGUGCCACAGAGUGACAAUCCAGGAGCUACUCGGAGUACAAAGUACCAACCAUUAUACAAGGAUCAGACGUCAAUGUUUUUUGAGACCUUGAUGCAAAAACCAAGGUCUUGAUGUCGCAAUUUCCCUCCAUAUGCAUAUGAAACCUUGCUAGAUUUUCGCCACUGUCAGUGAACGUUGUAUAUAUGUUUGUAACAUCUGAGAACAAAUGCAAAACCAAGAGCUCAAAUAAAUUGAAGAGCAAAACCUAUACACAGAUAUUAAAAGAAAUAUAAUCAAAUUGAUAGAGCACCUUGGAGGUGAAAGGUAAUGUCAAAUAAUUGGACAUGACGUGAAAACGAUGACCUCACUUGGGAUAAUAGUUCAUUUGAUUGUAGCCACAAAGAAAGCGGCAAACUAAACGACAACCAAAGAGCAACGAUUGUGAUAGUAUAUUCUCUCUUGAAAACCAUUGGAUAUAUAUACAUGGAUGAGAUGAAUCUAAUAGAGUGUUUACACUUACACACAUAUAUACAGAAUCAUCAUGAGUGUUUUCUUGCUUCUUCAAUGGCUUGGAAACUGCAAAUAAAGGUUCGCUUCGCAGGAGAGAUAGCGCCAUCACUUCUUCUUAAGAGUUUAGAAGAUGGUGACGGUAUCUCUCCUACGUAGCAAUCCUUAUAUAUGCAUCUAAAAGCAGAGAAAUACAGUUGGAGUUUCAAGGUAAUUCGGUUAAAUCAUUAUACAGUUUAAUAUUGUAUUAUUACCUUUCACUCUAACAAAUGAUGCAUACCAUUUCAGUUCCGUAUUUGUUUUUCUUUCUUUAAGUAACAUGGUCAUCUAUAUAUUGUUUGCUUUUAGUUUCAAAAAACAUGGUCAUCUAUAAAUAUUAUAUUUGUACUCACAUUGCGAUAAGUUAAAGGAUUGGUCACUACAUGACCUUGGCUUGAGCCUCUGGAUCACCUUACUAUAAAUGACAAUCUGGUUCCUGCUCUUUUCUCAAAGUUGUUUUUGUCUUAAUCUGUUUAGUUUUCUCAUUGGCGUGCUCUUGAAUAUUAGCACAUCCUCAGUCUGAAAACUACAAGAAAAGCUUAUCAACGUAUGAAUUGUAUUGCAGAAUACACAUUUUUGGGGUUUGAUUCUCUCACCCACUAGAGAAAAAGUAUUUUCUUUAGUUUUUUUGUUUGUUUGUCUUUGACAAGGGGCCUAUUGAAAGGUUUAGACGAAAAGGUUGACAAUUCUGUGAAUACUAUCAACAUCAUGCGCUCAAAGGUUAUAUAGUUUCCACUGGAAGCAAAAAGCGAAUUCAAUAAGACCAUCUCCAAAGACUCAAGAAUCUUCACUAAGUAGAUCAAGGAAAAUCUAGUUCUAAGUUUUUGAAAUACAAAAAAUAUCAGACUUGUACACAAGAACGUACCACAUAUUUAGUAACCUGCGAUGACAAUUUAUGACAUGUAAUAUCCUCAAAGUAGCCAUAGAUGUGGAAGUAGUUAUAAUUAUUAGUGAAACUUUAGCACAAAAGCUACACGUCAAGAUUUUCCAAACAACAACAUUAAAAAGCUAAAGUAUCCUCCAGAUUUCCCAUUCUGCCAUUUACGUACCACCUUGUUGCUUAUAUUGGAGCAAGAGAGCGAUGGAAAAUAAAAAAAACCUGCUCGGCCCAUAAUAACGACUGAAUCACAUUUUAGCCCAUAAAGAUAUUUUUAUGAUAUAUAAUUUUUGUUUUAACUAUAAAUCAACGUGAAGAAGGUUAACUGUAUAAGAGAAGAAUCUGUGUAUUGUUUAAAAUACAACUGUAGAAAUUAUAGAUACAUAGAUAAUUACUGAAUCGAAUAGCACGGGAAUAGAUAUGUUCUUCUAGAAUGACCUUUUACAUUUAGAUAUCAAUAUUUUAUGGAAUUCAAUUUAUAUUACCUACCAAAUUUGACCGAGUAAUGGGGUAUGCAUACGAAUAUGAAUGCACAACCCUAGUUGAAAAAAAGUAAUACUUCCAAAUUGCAUUGAGAUACUAUAAACCGGCAAAUUAGAAAGCAAAUAGAAGAAAAGUAUUAUAAACCGGGCCGGUUGAUCCAACGGCUGGUGUUUAGAUUAGAAGACCAACGAAACGUCACCGUUUAGAUUGUAAAAUCUAAAUAGUGGGUGGAGAGAGAAAGAAAGAAAAAAAGUCAAUUAUAAAAAGGGAUUAUAAAAAAAAAGAACGCGUCAACUUUUCGUAGUGGUGGUGGUGGUGGGGGGACUUAGGGAUCAGACCGUGCACGUGACCGCACGGAAACUAAACCCGGACGUAUUGCGCGUGACUAAACCGGAUUAGAUUAAUCGACGACUGGUCCGGCUACCCUUUUCUUUUGUGUGCGUUUCCUCUCCCAGAGAUUGAGAGAAGAUCGAUCUUUUUUUUCUUCUUUUUCCUUAUUCCUGGGUGGAAAAUCUUAUCGACCUAAUAGAAAGCCCUAAUUUCUCAUCAGUCUCCGAUCCCUUUUGGUUUCUGUUUUAAUUUUGUGAAAUUUAGAACAGAGCUUUUUGCUUCUUGUUUGUGUCUGGGUGGUUCACGACAUGGAUUUGGAAGCUAGCUGUAAGGUAUUUUAUUUGUCUGAGAGAUCGGUGCUUUAUAUGAUGCGUUGUGGUUUGAUAUAUAACGGAUGUUUUCAAGAAAGCUUUGAUUUGAAUUCAGUUUAUUCUUUACGACUAUGAGUGUUUAAAACGAGAUGUUCUCAAAGUUUAGUUCUUUUGGUUGUUGUUGUUGUUGUGUUGCAGGAGAAACUUUCAUCUUUUAGGAUAAAAGAGCUCAAGGAUGUGCUCACUCAGCUUGGACUUUCGAAACAGGGGAAGAAACAGGUUAUCAUCUUUCUGCUGAUUGUGUUUGUGGCUCUCACAGGGCACUGCUUAAAUAGUCGUGGUGCCAACUUGGAGUAUUGCCAUUGUGAAUGAAGUAUCUGUUUUUUUUUUAACUCCUUUUGAUUUUUUUUUUUCGUUAACAGGAUCUUGUUGAGCGGGUUUUGACGCUUCUUUCUGACGGACAAGGUUAAUUGAAACGCUUCUCUUUUGUUUAUUCAUGUCUUUGGUGUAUUAAAACUCACUUCUCGCUUCGUUUCAUUUGGACAGCCGCCAGGUUGUGGUCUAAAAAGAAUACAAUGGCGAGGGAAGACGUUGCAAAACUAGUGGAUGAUACAUACAGGUGAGGGAUCGUUUCUUUCAAUGGAUUUCUUGUUGAAUUGCGGUUCGUUAUUACCACAAUGUUUUUUUUUUUUUUUUGUGUUCCGUAGGAAAAUGCAAGUAUCUGGGGCAAGUGAUUUAGCAUCAAAAGGACAAGUAAGUUCAGAUACUAGUACUCUGAAAGUCAAGGGGGAGCCUGAAGAUUCCUUUCGACAAGAAGUGAAAGUUCGAUGUGUUUGUGGAAGUUCACUGGAGACUGACUCAAUGAUACAGGUAAAUCUAGAGAAAAAAACUCUGUGCGUCUAUUGCUGUUUGGCUGAUGUUCAUAUCACUUUUGUGAUGCUGAAAAUUAUGUUCUCUUCUUUUAUUUUCGAUUUCAGUGUGAGGAUCCUAGAUGCCAUGUUUGGCAGCAUGUUGGCUGUGUAAUUGUCCCGGAAAAGCCAAUGAAUGCAAAUCCGCCACUUCCUGAAACCUUUUAUUGUGAAGUCUGUCGACUUACCCGAGCUGACCCGUAAGUAGUGUUUUCAUAGAAGUUGGAAUCUUGUGUAAAAUCUCAAUUGUUACUUUUUUUACAUUAACAACUUUGGCUAUCCAUUAGGAUUGUGUUUCACGGUUGUGUCUCCUACAUGGUUUUCCUUGGGCAGGUUUUUGGUUACAGUGGCACAUCCACUUUAUCCAGUGAGGUUGACUCCAACUACCAUCUCAUCUGAUGGGUAAGAACUUCUUAUUUUCCGUAUUGCUCUCAUUAUAGACGUUAAUAUUGUUAUUUUUUUUUAAUAUUUAGAAAGCGAAGUACUAGAUAAGCUUAUCCUAGAUGGAUACAUCACCAUCCGUUUCAUCGUGCAUUAUAUAUGUUCAUGUUUUUAUUUCCUCAAACGAUCUAAGUAUCAAAUCACGGCUCUGCUAGUCAGUUAACUUUCAACUAAUCACAUUUUUUUCCGUAGCUAGAUGCGCACCUACUGAAAUAAAACUGUUACCACCUUUUGUUUAUUCUAAUGCUCCGAUCAAAACUUUUCCAGUACAACCCCAAUGCAGAGUGUUGAGAGAACAUUUCAAAUCACAAGGUCAGACAAGGACUUGUUGGCCAAACAAGAGUACGAUGUUCAGGUUGGGUUGGUUUUGCAGAAGUACUCAAACAUGUAAAACUGUACCUACGUAAACGUUUCUAACUGGAAUUUUACUUUUGUUCAGGCGUGGUGUAUGCUUUUGAAUGACAAAGUUGUCUUUAGGAUGCAGUGGCCCCAAUUUGCUGAACUACAGAUCAAUGGUAUGACUGUGACAUCCUCUCAAAUAGGGAAUGUGUUAGUUUUCUUGUUAUUCUGAUUGUAUUCAAUAAGAAUGCUUUAUAUUUUCUGAUAUGCGAUUCAUGAUACACCUUAUCAUUUCAUAGGUAUGCUUGUACGCACAAUUAGCCGACCUGGGUCACAGCUUUUGGGGGCCAACGGCCGCGACGAUGGACCUACUGUAUGUUUUUUUUUAUCCCUAAUCCUUUUGACUGAAAUAUAGGAGUAGAUCUCUUACAUUGAAAGUCUUGGAAUCAGUAGUGUAAUUUGUUACCAUCUCAUUUUGCUAUUUUGGCAGAUAAAACCUUAUAUUAAGGAUGGGAUUAACAGAAUAAUCUUGAGCGGAGGUGACAGUCGGAGAUUUUGUUUUGGAGUUAGACUUGUGAAGCGCCGGACUCUACAACAGGUACUGGUGACAGAUAUUGCAUGAGAAAUAUUCGAAAUGUUUGGCCGGUCUAUGGCGGGUAAUAAAGACAUAAAUGUUCAAAAAAAAAACAUAAGGAUCUUUUGAAUAUAGAAAGCACGAAAUUAAAUUGGCACUGGCAACUUACUUUCCCACAAAAUAUGUUCGGAUUUCAAAAUUUCCUGUCCUGUCCUUCUGUCCUCUAUUUCAUUCAGAUAAGUAACUGAUCGUGGUCUUGUGUGAUACAUGGUUUGCUAGAUUAAGCUUUUUUGUAUUGCAAUUGCUAGCUAAUGUGUUGUCUGUCUGAAUGCUCAGGAAUUCAGUUAUAGUUAUCCAAGUGGCUUCAAACUAACUCACUUUUCCCAUCUAGGUUCUAAAUUUAAUUCCAGAAGAGACUAAAGGGGAGACGUUUGAAGAUGCUCUAGCACGUGUACGACGCUGCAUUGGAGGUGGAGGUGGAGAUGAUAAUGCGGACAGUGAUAGUGACAUUGAAGUUGUUGCUGAUUUCUUCGGUGUCAACCUCCGGUGUCCUGUAAGUUACUAAUAGCUUGUAGCUCAGUUUUCAUACUUGUUGCAGUCAAGUAACUGAUGCUUACUAUCUUCCUAGUGUAUUUGGUGCUGUUUGUGUGUUUAAUUGUCUUUCUGUUUGUCAUUAGAUGAGCGGUUCUAGGAUAAAAGUUGCUGGGAGAUUUUUACCCUGUGUGCACAUGGGCGGGUUUGACCUUGAGGUGUUUGUGGAGUUGAAUCAACGUUCCAGAAAGGCAGGUUUCUUAUCCUUGUCUAAACAUUUGGUUAUUCAUCUUGUUUUCUGACUUUGUUUGUUCUGUUGCCUUGUUAACAUGCAGUGGCAGUGCCCUAUUUGUUUGAAGAACUACUCAGUUGAACAUGUAAUCGUGGAUCCUUAUUUUAACCGUAUCACUUCUAAGGUAUACUUUUGGGGAAUACACUAAAAAUUAAUGAAUCUUUGUAUCCACGUCAUUGAAUUAUUCUCUUCCUGCACGACAGAUGAAGCAUUGUGAUGAAGAUGUGACUGAAAUUGAAGUGAAACCUGAUGGUUCUUGGCGUGUAAAGUCCAAAAAAGAGAGAGAGCUCUCUCAGUGGCACUUACCCGAUGGUAGCCUUUGCCCCUCUGCUGAUGAGGUUAAGCGGAAGAUGGAAACGUUGAUUCCGGUUAAACAAGAAGGUUUCUCAGAUGGUCCAACUCCUCUGAAACUGGGCAUAAGGAAGAAUCGCAAUGGUGUUUGGGAAGUUAGGAGACCUAAUACAAAUGGCCUUUCUUCCAGUAAUAAGGUUGGGUAUCAGGACAAGAAUGUUAUACCGAUGAGUAGUAGUGCUACUGGAAGUGGUCGUGAUGGUGAUGAUGCAAGCGUAAGCCAGGAUGCUAUUGGAUCCUUUGACUUUGGAACCAAUGGCAUCGAACAUGAUUCCAUUUCCAUGAAUGUCGAUUCAAGUUAUAACAUUCCUGACAGAAACCAAGCUGGAGAGGAUGUAAACAAUGAUGUUAUUGUUCUAAGUGAUUCUGAUGAAGAUAACGAUGUAGUAAUCACUACUCCUGGACCUUCAUACAGUGGUUGUCGAGCCGAUGGUGGGGUAAAUUUUCCGUUGAACCCUUCUGGUAUCAUCAACUCAUAUAACGAGGACCCGCACACCAUGGCUGGGGGAAGUUCACGCUUAGGUGGUUUCAACGAUGACGAUGAGUUUGUUACGCCCCUUUGGUCAUUUCCUUCUGAAACUCCAGAAGCCCCUGGGUUCCCACUGUUCGGAUGUGAUACUGACGUUUCAGAAGGUUUACUUGGUUUGCAUCAUCAUGGCGGCCCACUAAACUGUGGUCCUGAAAUAAAUGGAGAUUAUACCAUGGCUCCUGAGACAUCAAUGGCAUCUGAAGCAGUGGCGAACGAUGGAGGCCUAGUUGACAAUCCUCUUGCAUUUGGUAGAGACGAUCCUUCACUUCAAAUAUUUUUGCCAACGAAACCAGAUGCUUCAGCUCAGAAUGGUUUUAUAAACCAAGCUGAUAUGUCAAAUGGUAUCCGCAGUGAUGACUGGAUCUCGCUAAGGCUAGGCGAUAGCGCUGGUGGGAAUCAUGGAGAGUCUACUUCUGCAGACGGGCUCAACUCAAACCAGCAGAUGUCGACAAGGGAAGGUUCUAUGGAUGCUACGACAGAGACUGGUGCGUUCCCUGACUAAGACAAAUUAUAUAUGCUUUCCUACAACCAUCAAGGGCCCUGUAAAUGUGGAUCCUUUUCAUGAUGUUGCGUUUCUAGUUUUCUUCAUUUUAUUGUAAACAAUGGAUGGAGAAAGAAGAUCUGUUUUAGUUUCUAAAUGUAGCUUUAGCUAAUCAUUUAUCUUUGACGAUGUCCAUUCUAUCUGUACUAGUCCAUGUGGUACACUUACUGACUGUUAGUGCGUAUUUGCAGCUUCGUUACUUUUGGGUAUGAAUGACAACAACAAGGCAAAGAGGCAAAGAUCAGAUAAGCCAUUUUCAUUUCCUCGCCAGAAGCGUUCUGUAAGACCUCGGAUGUUCCUCUCCAUUGACUCAGAUUCUGAGUGAUAUUUUGUUCUCUUCUCUCUCUCUCGGGAUGAUUCGGUGUUCCUUUUGAUUCUUAUUGCUAUGCACAGAACAAUCUACAUGAUCAUCAGACAGCAUACCGGAGUUAGCCAUGAUUUGCCUUGAUUCUCUGUGCAGUCAAGCAUCGAAUUGGUAGUGACUAUUUAUCUCUUUAUGUUGGUGAUUCUCUUCAGUAACGGUUCAGAAUCUUUGGCAAAGCAAAGCACAGAGGGUGAUUUAGUUUUACUUAAUAGGCAGAAAAAGUGGGCAUAGGUGGUUCCGGGUUAAGUAUACUCGAAUAGUUUUUUCUUAAUUAAUUAUUUUCUGGAAGAUUAUAAAAAUUAUUUGGGUGCCAGAAGCUAUAGAGGCAUGUAACGUUGUAAAUUAUGGGCUCCCUAUUUUUUUUUUAUUAUAAAAAUCAGCUCUUAUUGUGCAAUAAGUUUUCAGCAUCCUUCUGGCCAAAGCCAGAAUUAUUUUUACGGUGUCUUCCCCCCCACCCCCAACACCCAAACAGAAGUAACUCUGAUUUGAUAUAUCAGGAAACUUCUGGAAAAUACGUUUUGGGGGUAAAUCCCAUGUGCUAACGAAUCUUUAUUAGUAGUAAAUACAUCACAAUGCAAGUUACGUAGUAGCAAUUUGAAACAGCAUCAAAAUACCAACUGGUCGCUAUAUUUAGCAGAACAGAGAAUGAUAGAAACACAGAAAAUACUCGGGUGUGUGAAACUAAAAAGAAAAAUGUUAAAAAAAAAAAGAAUUACUCCUGGAUCCGUAGAAAAUAAAAUAAAAAAUUAAGUGGAGUGAAGAAAGUCACUUUCUGUUGCUUGUUGAUUGUUUGUGGUUUUUGAUUUGGUUUUUGGUUUUAGUUUUUCUAAAAACUAGUUUUAAACCAUUUAAGAAUCAGUUCAAAAAAAAAAAAGAUUUUGACAAAAUAGUUUCCCUAUAAAAUAGGGAAUCUGGUUUUUGAAUUAAAAGGAAAAACCAGAAUCUGUAUGUUUUAGAAUUUUCUCUUUCAAAUCUACGGCAACUGUUUUAAAAAAUAAUUUGUUUAUGUUUUUGUUGGUAAAUAAUUCAGGUACAAUAUAUCUGUAUUUAUUCAACACAUUACUAAUACUGAUCUACGUGAAGAUAUGCCUCUUUUAUAAACAAAUAUUUCUUUUUAUAUGUAAGAGCCACAUUUAUUUAACAAAAGGUCAUGAAAACAAAUCUUUAAAAUAAUAUUCUUCUUUAAAAAGUAAUUUAUUGAAUUAUAAUAAAAUUAAUAAUUAUUUAUAACUAAUAAAUUUUGUUAAAUUUAUAUACAGUUUACAAUACAAAAUAUUAAUUAAGACAUUAUAGUGUAUAUCAAAGGUUAUGACAAGUAUUUAUUUAUUUACUAAAUAAAUAUUUAUAAUUGACUGAUUAUAUAGAUUCGUUGAAUAAUUAAUAUAUGCUAUUAAUUUUAAAGAGAAAAAAUACAACGGAACAAUAGUAGGUUCAUAUACUUCUUGAAAUAUAUUAAAUUGAAAUGCAAAAAAUAAAUUGGCAUAUUGGUCUUUUAAAAAAUGAGAGUAAAAUAAGAAUUAUAAACAAAAAUAUAAAUACAUUUUAUUUAGCUUUUUGAGUUAAAAUAUUAUGUGUAUUUCCCUGUAAAUAUAAACUUAAAUAUAUUUUAAAAUACAGCCAUUAAUUUUUAUAAUAUUUUGUUUUGGUGUUUUUAUUUUUAUUUUUAAAUAAAUUUAUAUUAGUUUAAUUUUAGUGAUACUUAUGAUAUUUUUAUUUUUUUUGUUUCUAAAAAUAUUUUAUCAUUAAUGAUUUAUUUUAAUCUAAAAAACAAAAACCAAAAUACAAUCACCAAUCAAGUUUUUCAAAAAGCUAAAAUCUACAGCAAAAUUAAAACCAAAAAAAAAAAAACUAAAAUCCAAAAACUAAAAUUUAAAAACUAAAAACCAAAAACUACAAUCUAAAAACCAAAUAAACAAUCAUCACCUAAUUACACUCGGGUUUUAGUCUUUACUGUAAAUGUAACAUUUUCACAACUUGUAUUUUUAUCUUGGCCAUAGCCAAUAAUACUCAGUAGUCAAUUUUUGGUUCAGAUUCAGAUCAUAUCUUUCUAUACUUUCUUUUGGAUUUUUUUUAAAAGUACAUCUUUUAUAAUACCACUUUUAAAUUUUUGUUAGUUAAUUACUAUUUCCAAAAACUACAAUAAAACUAAAUAGAAAUUAACCAAACUAUCUUUAGCUUGAAAAUCUUAAAACAUAAAAAACACGUCGUCUUUGCCUCCACUUUGUUUUUUGAGGAAGGGCCUCCACUGCAAGAAGAAAAUGAUAAAUGAUUUCAAAUAGCCUGAAAACAAGUUUUUGUUCCCAAACCAGUCUUCAGAAAUCAAAAUAAUCAAAAUAAGUUUUAUUAUAGAUGUAAAUAACAAUUAUACAUCUCCUCUACAGAUAUAUAUAAACUUAAUAUUUUCUUUUAAUUUUUUUAAAAAAAAUUUGAUUUUUUUUAUCAAUUUUUAUUUCCAAAGCUGUUUUUCAAAUUUUUGUGAGAACAUUUUUUCUUUUCCAAAAUUAUUUUCAGGAAAAAAUGAUCUUAAAAGUGUUGGAAUACAUUUCUAAAUAUGUAUGAUACCUAUUCAAUUUGAAUUUACAAAGGCCUUUAUGAAUAAGUAUAAAAUCUUCCUAAAAUGUAGGAAAAAAUUGAUAAACAUGUAUAAUAUCUUCAUAAAAUUUAGAAUUUUUUUUAUAAAUGUGUAUUUAGGAAAACCUUCAUUAAUAUAUAUUUAUGAAUAUUUUACUGAAUUUGAAUUAUAUACACAUAUAGGAAUAAAUUCCUAAAAUAUACGUAUAAGUUAUAUUCAAAAAAUAUGUUUACAAAUUUAUGAAAUUAUUCAUGAAUUUAUAUUUUUUUUACAAAGUCAGGAAGAUAUCAUCACGUUUAAGAAGGUCUCUAUAAAUAUAUGUUUUUUAAACUUGUUCCCAAAAAAAAUCAAAAAAAAUAUUUCGAUUUUUAUAUUUUGUAUUUUUAAUAUUUAAUAUUUUAAUAUUUAUUUAUUUAUAUUUAUCUAAUAAAUAAUAAAUUAAAAUUAUAAAUGAGUAUAAAAAUAUCAUUUAUACCUUUAAUGAAACAUAUUUGGUCAAUUUGAUUUUUUUGGGGACUAUUUAGGGGAAAAAAGCUAAAAAGAAACUAUUUAAGAGAUUUUGCCAAUAUAUAUCUUACUUUUUAUUAAUUUUAGUUUUAUAACCAUUGAAUCUAUCUUUCUAAUUAAAAUCUGCACAAUUUAUGGUUGCUUGAUUUUUGAGAUAAGAUCUAAGAUAGUUUAUGUGUUAUUUUGAUUUUUCUUAUGUAAUUGCUGAUUUUUUUUUUUUACUGUGAUUUUGGAGAAGAUAAUACAAUAGAAAAGCUUUAGUUCAACAUUUUAUAUAGCUAGUUUCUAAAUACAUAUAGAAUACUUGCAAUAUAGUUUAUAAACAAGACCAUAUAAAAGAUGUAUAAAGUCUAUACAUAAAACCAAAAUAUGUUUAUGUAAUCUUAUAAUAUUUUAUAUACAAACAUUUCUUAUAAAACCUUAUAAACAUAAAUAUAAUGGUUUAUCAUAUCUUAUAAAUGAGUUUAUAAAGUCUUAGGAAAUUGUGUGAAAGUGUUAUACAAUCUUAUUAAAGUCUUAUAAAACAUUCUAAAACUUUAAAAACAGAUUUAUAAAAUUUUAUGUGUGAUUAUAAAUCUUAUAUACAACCAUAUAUAUGUAUAUUAUAAAAAAUUAAUAGAAGAAGUAGACUGACUGAAUUGAGAUUCAAAGUAUAAAUAAUUUAAUGGGUUUACAAUAUUGUAUUACACAUAAUUUACUAAUCUAUACUUUAUGAAAAUGUUCUAUUAUAGGGCACACAAAUCAUUUAUAAUAAGUUAUAAAUCUAGCUAAGUUGAUCUCAAAUUAUCUUAUAAGAAAUUAAGUCGAUUAUAAACUUUGUAAAUCCAUACAAGAGGUUAUAAAUCUUAUGAAACCUUAUAGAUGUAUUACAUAAAAGCGGAAACAUAUUGAUGUACUACAAUAGCUAUGAAUCAUGAUACUGAAAGCAAUAGAAGAAGGUCGCAUAGUGUUGUCUUCUUUAACAAUCAGAUGAAGGAACCAACUACUUUAAAAAGCUCUUCUUCUUCUGAGGACACAUGAGUUGUUAUGCCUUCAUAAUUGGUCUGGACCGUAGCUCAUAAAAAGGAAGCGAGCUUGGUGAGGUCCUGAUCAAUAUUAGAUUGAACAACCAUAUGCGUUGAAGACCACGUUUACAACAGAGGUAAGAACAUUCUGACAAGAAAUUAGACUUAAAUUAUCAAAAAAAAAAAAGAAAUUAGACUUAAACUUGAGCGGACAUAAUCUACCUAACUAGACUAAAACGUUUUCCGACCAUGCACGUGGGUUAUGUUCCUACAUUAAAUAGCAAACAUCUUAUUGCUUAUAACCUUAAACAGAAAUUCAACAUAGUUCUUAUGGCUUGUAGCCCAUUCUAUACGUUGAUACUUUUCACUUAUCUCGCUCAAAUCAUCAAGUAUAGUUUAGUUUUUCCAAAGUACAUGAUGUUAAUCAAGUUUUGGUGACAUAACAUGGCAGAUUCAGGAAAAUUCCCUCUACUUUCAUAUAGUAGAUUGGUUUCUAUUAGUGAUACAAAAAAUAUAUUGUAUAAUGGAAUACAGUUGGUUAAUAUGUUAUUAUAUAUGUAGUAUUGAUGAAUAUAAUUGCAAAAUAACUUAAUUUUUGAGUUUAAAUGCUUUUGUAAAAAUACUAGUUUUUUGUCAAUUGAUACAUUUAAAAGUACUCUAAUUUUAUUGAUAUUUCUUACACCAUCAUAUAUGUCAAUUUAUUUAGAAAGAAAUUUUUAUCAUUUAACAAAUACGGAAAUAUCACAUAUAAUGAGGUGGCGGAUUUUAUUACAUUGUACCAAGUGAAAUGAAAAUACUAUAGUCAAAUAAAUAUACAUUUCAUACCUUAUACAAUGGAAUAUAAAGAUAUUGCAAUAUCUCAAAUUGGAAAAAAAUAAUAUUUAAUCAUAGAAUAUAAUAUUUUAGAUUUGAUAUUACUCUUAGAUAACUCUUAAUAUUAAUUGUUGGUAUGUAAUAUUUUGCUAUAAAUAAAUGAAAGUUGCAAGGUAAACAUCGAUUCAUAUUUUCUUUUCCAAAUACCAAAAAACAUGGCAAAAAAAAGUAAAGGUCGCCAGAGGAUCACAAUGGCCAAGAUGGAAAAUGAGAGUAACCUUCAAGUUACUUUUUCGAAAAGAAGAUCCGGCCUUUUCAAAAAAGCUAGUGAGCUUAAUACACUUUGUGGUGCAGAUAUCGCCAUUGUUGUGUUCUCACCUGGUGGAAAAGUCUAUUCUUUUGGUCACCCAAGUGUGGAGAUCGUGCUUAACCGGUUCAAAAAUAUCAACCAGCCAACUCUUAACCAAAACAACAACAUGCGACUUAAUGAAGCGCGUCCGAAUGAUGCCAUUCGGGUUAUGAACGACUUUCUUACUCAGGUGACUUUUAUCGUAUUAUUCAAUAUAUUAUUAUGUUUUAUAUAAAUGACAAAAACCCUAAUGUUGAGUUCAAAUAUAUUUAAUAUUUAUGUACAUGUUAGUUUUGACAAAUAACUAAUAUAAUAUACAGUAAAGUUAUGUGUGUUUCUCUGUAUAUAAAAUAUAUUCGUGUACUGGCGUGUAAUAAUGUAGAAAUUAAUGUCAUAUUAUAUAUGUAUUGAUAUAUGUAGACAGUGUUAUCUAAUUCUCUUAAUAUAAACAUACAAGUUUAUUUUGGAGGAAUUAAUAAGAGAUUCUACCAAAUAUAUUGUUUUGAAUUGAAAAUAAAUUAUUUAAUAUUUGCAGGUGAUGAAUGAUUUGGAAUUAGCAAAAAAGAAAAAUGAAGAAUUAAAAAAAAUAAGAAAAAACUCGAAAAUGCCUGUGAAUUGGUGGGAAGAUCCCGUUGAAGAACUUGACUUAGCUCAUGCCAAAGAGUUUAAAAGUUUACUGGAAAAGUUGAAAAGUUAUGUUACAGAUGAGGCCUCGAAACAUUUCCAAGCAAUCUUUCCUCAGCCAAACUUCUAUGGCGGAAGUUCCAGUGGUGCUCCUUUUAGGGAUGGUGGUUAUAUCAACCCUAAUUUGGACCCGAGUGAAAGAAGAAUGUUCAACGUGAAUGCAUACUACAACCAGAACAUGUAUCCUCCUAAUUAUCCAUUACCGUAUGGAAACAAUAAUUAUGCGGGAGGAUUUGUUCCAGAGUACAAUUUAAACUACAUGCAUGGGUUUAAUCAGUACCGAAACCAAAACCAAAAUCUGAGUUUUAAAGAAGAAGGCAUCUCCGAGAAUGAAUGCCAUCAAGAUGGCCCUCCUCCUCAUCUUUGAUCUGAUUGUGACUGGUCAUUUCUAUAUGAACCAGUGGAGUAUCUAGACAAAAAAAUGUUUUAUCCUCAUUUCUUCUUAGUAUGUUGUGUUUUUCUCCUUUCAUAGUAUGUUGUAUUUUUCUCAGAUUUGGUGUCUUUUGUUUUCAAUAAAAACAGAUUUAUUUUUCUCAAAAUACACAUGAAAAUUUAUCGUGAAAAGAUACCAAGUAUAAAUAAAUUGUCUUACAUUGUCUUUUGUAUCCAAGGAAAUGUAUAAUAGAUACUACACUAUUUUAUAAGAAUAUAAAGACUAUAAAAUUCAAUGAAAUAAUAUUAAAGAAAAUAUAAUAGAUGAAAGCAAAAUCCUCCAUAUUUUUCAUGAUCCUUAAAAACACGCAGAUUCCAUAUCAAACAAACUUAAGAGUACCCAGAAUCCUCCAUUAUGAUAUAGAAUAUAUACAACCUUUACUCAGAAAAGACUGGCUUUGCUUGGUUAUGUGUAUAAAAAGUAAUUUCCAAAACAUAUAUAGACUAGAUAUCAAGUAUGAAAAGUGUAUGUUUAUUGAUUAUGUGAGAAGAUACAAGAUUGUUAAGGGGUAUUGAUUAACAAGAAUAUUGAGGUUAAAGGUUCGUUAUCAAAGAAUUCGGAUCCCCCUCCUCUCGUUUUUGAUCUUUAUUUAUAGGUUUUGAGAGGUGAUCUUAAUGGCUACGCAAUUUUUGACGGGUAUUGGGUGCCAUAGUGAUCAUCUUUAAUGCUUUGAAUUUUGUUUAACUCUUGUUUGACUGUAUUACCUCAGCAUGGACCGUCUCAUAGCUCAGGAUAUGCCUAUUUCAUGAGUCUUACAUCUUCUUAUAGCCCGAGUGACACUGGAUUGGACUCUCUAAUCAGAUUUGAAUUGGAGUGAAACUCACCUUUAAUAUAGAUGUUUAUAAGAUGAAAUUACAAGAGUGAUGAUGCAGAACCUAUGACUUAAGGGUCUAACCAACUCAUAAAUGUGAAAACAAGAUGGAUAAAUAGAGAUUUUCAGCAAUGUCAAAAAAAAAUAAUAGAAGAUUUAGCGAAAAAAUGGCUUAUUCAUUAUAUAUAAUUUUAGUCGUAAUUCAUAUAAGAACAAACAUAUUGUACCUGAGCUCUUAAAAUAUUCAAAUAUAACACAUAAAUUUUAAGUUUAGUACUUAACUGAGUUGAUCUAAAUAAAAAUUAGUCAAACAUACGUAGUUUUAAAAAUAAAUUAUUUUUAUAUAAUAUAUGAGAUUCACAUCCACUGAAACAAAUCUUUACCAGUUAAACUACUAUUUUUGGUUGGGAUUAUGGUUAAAACAUAUUUAUAAAUUUUGUCAUCAUUUGCUGACGACAUUUAAUGUGUGUUUAACCGUAAUACAAAUAUAUUAUACUUAACCCAAUCUGAGCAGUUAAGAAAUUCAAAUAUAACGAAUAAAUUUUAACUUUAGUGCUUAAUUGAGUUGAUAUAAAUAGAAAUUAGUCAAACAUACAUAGUUUUAAAAUAAAUUGUUUCUUUACAAAAUAUGAGGAUUUAAGCCAAUUAAAACAAACUUUCACCAUUCAAGCUACCAUGUUUGGUUGGUAUUAUGGUUAAAAGACAUUUAUUAAUUUUGUCAUUAUUUACUGACAACAUUUAAUGUGUUUUAAACAUAAUACAAACAUAUUGUACUUUACUCAAUCUGAGCAGUUAAAAGAUUCAAAUAUAACAAUUUUUUUUAACUUUAGUGCUUAACUGACUUGAUCUAAAUGAAAUUAGUCAAAGAUACGUAAUUUAAAAAAUAAAAUGUUUUUAUAUAAUAUAUGAGAUUCAAAUCCAGUGAUUCAAAUAUUUACCAGUUAAACUACCAUGUUUGGUUAGUAUUAUAGUUAAAACAUAUUUAUUAUUUUUGUUAUCAUUUGACGACAUUUAAUGUGUUUUAACCAUAACACAAACAUAUUGUACUUUUACUCAAUCUGAACAGUUAAAAGAUUCAAAUAUAACGAAUAAAUUUUAACUUUAGUGCUUAACUGAGUUGAUCUAAAUGAAAAUUAGUCAAACAUAGGUAGUGUUAAAAACAAAUUGUUUCUUUACAAAAUAUGAGGAUUCAAAUCCACUGAAAACAAACUUUUACUAGUCAAGCGAGACAAUGUUUGAUUGGCAUUAUCGUUAAAACACAUUUAUUAAUAUAACUCAACCUGAGCAGUUAAAAUAUUCAAAUAUAACACAUAAAUUUUAAUUUUAGUGUUUAACUGAGCUGAUCUAAAUAAAAAUUAGUCAAAUAUACGUAGUUUUAAAAAUAAAUUGUUUUUAUUAUAAUAUAUGAGAUUCAAACCUACUGAAACAGUGUUUACCAGUUAAACUACCAUGUUUGGUUGGUAUUAUGAUUAAAACAUAUUUAUUAAUUUUGUCUUCAUUUGCUGACAACAUUUAAUGUGUUUUAACCACAAUAUAAACAUAUUGUAGUUUACCCAGUCUGAGCAGUUAAAAGAUUUAAAUAUAAUAUUUUUUUUAACUUUAGUGUUUAAUUGAGUUGAUCUAAAUGUAAAUUAGUGAAACAUACGUAGUUUUAAAAAUAAAUUGUUUCUUUACAAAAUAUGAAGGUUUAAGUCAAUUAAAACACUUUUACAGGUCAAGCUACCAUGUUUGGUUGGUAUUAUGGUUAAAAAACAAUUAUUAAUUUUGUCAUUAUUUGCUUGACGACAUUUAAUGUGUACUAAACAUAAUACAAACAUAUUGUACUUUACUCAAACUGAGCAGCUAAAAGAUUCAAAUAUAACGAAUAAAUUUUAACUUUAGUGCUAAAUUGAGUUGAUCUAAAUGAAAAUUAGUCAAACAUACGUAAUUUUAAAAAUAUUUUUUUUAUAUAAUAUAUGAGCUGGAAACCCAGUGAAACAAAUAUUUACCAGUUAAACUACCAUGUUUGGUUAGUAUUAUAGUUAAAACAUAUUUAUUAAUUUUGUCAUCAUCUGAAGACAUUUAAUGUGUUUUAGCCAUAACACAAACAUAUUAUAAUUUUACUCAAUCUGAACAAUUAAAAGAUUCAAAUAUAACGAAUAAAUUUUAACUUUAGUGCUUAACUGAGUUGAUCUGAAUAAAAAUUAGUCAAACAUACGUAGUUUUAAAAACAAAUUGUUUCUUUACAAAAUAUGGGGAUUCAAACCCACUGAAACAAACUUUUACUAGUCAAGCGAAACAAUGUUUGGUUGGCAUUAUGGUUAAAACACAUUUAUUAAUAUAACUCAACCCGAGCAGUUAAAAGAUUCACAUAUAACACAUAAAACUUUAGUGCGUAACUGAGUUGAUCUAAAUGAAAAUUACUCAAACAUAGUUUAAAAAAUAAAUUGUUUUUAUAUAAUAUAUGAGAUUCAAACCUACUGAAACAAUCCUUACCAGUUAAACUAUCAUGUUUGGUUGAUAUUAUGGUUAAAACAUAUUUAUUAAUUUUGUCGUCAUUUGCUGACAACAUUUAACGUGUUUUAACCACAAUAUAAACAUAUUGUAGUUUACCCAAUCUGAGUAGUUAAAAGAUUUAAAUAUAACGAUUUUUUUUUUUAACUUUAGUGUUUAAUUGAGUUGAUAUAAAUGGAAAUUAGUCAAACAUAUGUAGUUUUAAAAAUAAUUUGUUUCUUUACAAAGUAUGGAGAUUUAAGCCGAUUAAAAAAACUUUUACCAGUUAAGCUACCAUGCUUGGUUGGUAUUAUGGUUAAAAGACAUUUAUUAAUUUGUCAUUAUUUGUUGACGAAAUUUAAUGUUUUUUAAACAUACUACAAAUUUAUUGUACUUUAUUCAAACUGAACAGUUAAAAGUUUAAGAUAUAACACAUUAAUUAUAACUUUAGUGCUUAAUUGAGAUGAUCUAAAUGAAAAUUAAUCAAAUAUACGUAGAUUUAAAAACAAAUUGUUUCUUUACAAAAUAUGGUGAUUCAAAUCCACUGAAACAAAUUAUUACUAGUUAAGCGAGAUAAUGUUUGUUUGGCAUUAUGGUUAAAACACAUUUAUUAAUUUUGUCAUCAUUUGCUGAGGACAUUUAAUGUGUUUUAAACAUAAUACAAACAUAUUGUACUUACUCAAUCUGAACAAUUAAUAGAUUUAAAUAUAACAAAUAAAUUUUAACUUUAGUGCUUAAUUGAGUUGAUCUAAAUGAAAAUUAGUCAAACAUACAUAAUUUUAAAAUAAUUUUGUUUUAUAUAAUAAACUAGUGUUUGCCCUGUGCUACGCACAGGAAAAAAAAAUCUUACUAAAAUAAACACAUUUAUUUUUUCUUACUAAAAUAAACACAAUGGCUUUAACAUAUAAGUUUAACAUGUAUUAAAAUUAAAUUUUUGGGUUAAAAGUGUACUAAACCACAUAGAUCAUCUCUUAAUAUUUUUAGGUGUCAAGAGAUGACAAAGAAUGUUAUAUAUAUUUGCAUAGUCAUAAAUUAUGUAUAAUAUACAUCUAGAAAAUAAUAACAAUUUACGGCAGUAAUAAAUUAAAAUAUCUUUGUUUACAUAUUACUUUAAUCUCCUCUACACAAAACACUUCCGAUAUGCUAUCAUCAAUCUUCACAUUAAUAAGGUAAGAAAUUAAGUUAUUAAGUUCAAGAAAUUAGAGAUCGUGUGUUCAUUUUCUUUAGAGACAGUUUGUUUAUUUUUAAGACUGUUUUAUUUUGCGAUAGAUUCAGAUUUUUUUUUAUGUUGAUAACUAUCAAAUUCUAUGAUUUUAAUGUCGAUGAUUUACCCCUUCAGCCACCUCUGACGUUAUAGUGAUGAUUCAUCAAAUCUUGAGUUGAGUGGAAUUGCAAGUCUUUGUCAUCUUCUUUCACAUUUGUUCUCUCCAUCUAUAGCAAAAAUGUAAAAGAAUCUUUUAAAACAUAAUUGACAAAAAGAUAGAAAACUGAUAUUUAUAAAUUAAUAAGCAAUAGGUUACGUAGUAGUGAUUAUGGUUGCACAAUGCACAUGGGUAAUAAAUAUAAACGUAAACGUUAUAUUAUUGUUGCAGGACUAUGAAACACUUACUUCUUCCUUUUGAUAACGUGAUGUACCUCUUUAUUUUGAUAAUUCAACCUCAAAUGAAAUGUAAAAAAAAAAGUUUGAAGGAUUUUGUUUGUUAGAGAUACAACGUAGAAGAAAGUGGAGAUGAUUUGAUACUUAUACAGGAGAUGAAGAAAACAGUUUCAGAGGAGGAUGUGAGUUAACGUAGGUAACUUUUAUUGAGAAAAAAUAGGAAUAUAGGUAGUUACAAAUUUUUUUUUUUGAACAAAAGGUAGUUACAAAUUUAAAUUGCAUAAAAAUAAGAGAUAAAAACAAAUCAAUUAAUUUUUUACAACUUUUCCACGUGGUAUUAUUUUAUUUGUCAGGCGACUUGCGCUUUAGUAUAUAAGGGAUGAGAUUUAAACCCACCGAACAAAUCUAUGCCAGUUAAACUACCAUGUUCGGUUCUUAUUAUGGUUAAAACAUAUUUAUUAAUUUUGUCGUCAUUUGCUGACGACAUUUAAUGUGUUUUAACCAUAACACAAACAUAUUGUAGUUUAUCUAGUCUGAGAAGUUAAAAAAUUCAAAUAUAACUAUUUUUUUAAUUUAAUGCUUAAUUGAGUUUCAAAAUGGAAAUUAGUCAAACAUACGUAGUUUUAAAAAGAAAUUGUUUCUUUACAAAAUAUGGAGAUGUAAGCCGAUUAAAACAAACUUUUACUAGUUAAGCUACCAUGUUGGUUGGUAUUAUGGUUAAAAGAUAUUUAUUAAUUUUUGUCAUUAUUUGCUGACGAUAUUUAAUGUGUUUUAAACAUAACAUAAUACAACCAUAUUGUACUUUACUCAAUCUGAGCAGUUAAAAAUUGAGACAUAACACAUAAAUUUAAAUUUAGUACUUAACUGAGUUGAUCUAAAUAAAAAUUAGUCAAACAUACGUAGUUUUAAAAACAAAUUGUUUCUUUACAAAAUAUGGGGAUUCAAACCCACUAAAACAAACCUUUACCAAUUGAACUACUAUGUUUGGUUGGUAUUAUGGUUAAAACAUAUUUAUUAGUUUUUUUCAUCAUUUGCUGACGAAAUUUAAUGUGUUUGAAACAUAAUUCAAACAUAUUGUAAUUUACUCGAUCUGAACAGUUAAUAUAUUCAAAUAUAACGAAUUAAUUUUAACUUUAGUGCUUAACUGAGUUGAUAUAAAUAGAAACCAGUCAAACAUACGUAGUUUUAUAAAUAAAUUGUUUCUUUAUAAAAUAUGGGAAUUCAAACCCAUUAAAACAAAAAAUUACUAAUUAAGCUACCAUAUUUGGUUGAUAAUAUGGUUAAAAUACAUUUAAUGUGUUUAAAACAUUAUACAAACAUAUUGUACUUUACUUAAUCUAAUCUAUUAAUUUAGGAUCCUAUUUUUUUAUCUAUCAUACAAAAAGUCUAUGUUAGACCAUUCAUUAGAAACUUAACUAAACAUUCUAAAUUUACUCAUAUAUGAUAUUUUCGUAACAAUUUACUCAUAUAUGAUAUUUUUCUAACAAAAAUAAUAUACAUCUAAAUAAUAACAUUUCUAAGACAAGAAAGAUAUAUUUCUAUUAGACAAUUAUUGUUUGAUUGUUUAUCAUGUUUAGCCUAGACCAUAUUAUAUAUAUAUAUAUAUAUCAGUAAUUAAUUUUGAAAUUAAAUGGUGUAGCCCAAUUAUUUUUAAAUUAUCAUAUUAACUUUUUAUAUAAAACAAAAGAAAUAAUAUUUUAUUGGCUGUAACAUUUUUUUUUUGUUUUUUUUGUAGUAUAAAUAAAAAAACCAAACUGAAAUAUUAUAUAUGAAAUAAAAUAAUAUUUUAAAAUAUAAUAUUAAAUAAUUUAAUUUAAUUUAGUUUUAUCAAAAAAAAAAAUAAUUAAUUUAGUCACACACAAACAUUUCGAAAAUAAAAAUUUCUGAACCAAAAAGUCUAAUACAAUUUGUAUUAAUUCAUAUAAAACUAAUAUUUAAAUUUAAAAAAAAAACAAAAAUUUUAUGUACAAUUUCAUCAAAAACAAAUUUCAACAAAGAAAAAAAUUUCAAAAUAAUAUUAUAUACAUAAGAAUUGAUAUUAAAUAUAUAUAUAUAUAUAUAUCUAUAACUUAUUUUAUAUUUUAAAUGUUAUUUAAAAAAAUAAAAUAUAUCCGCACAUAAUAUAUCCGCACAUAUAUGCGGGUUUAAAUCUAGUUUUUACUUAAUUUGAGCAGUUAAAAAUUUCAGAUAUAAAUAAAUUAUUUAUUUACAAAUACGGCGAUUCAAACUCACUGAAACAAUUAUUUACUAGUUAACCUACCAUGUUUGGUUGGUAUUAUGGUUAGAACACAUUUAUUUAUAUUCGUCAUUAUUUGUUGAGGACGUUUAAGGUUUUGCGUAGAUAUAUGAACAUGGUAUUUGAACCCACAAGCUCUAACUCUAAUAGUUGAGCCUAUACCAAUUGGGCUGUUAUAUCUUUUGGUAAUAAUGUAAAUUGAAUUUGUUUACAAUACUGUAGAUUGCAGUUUUUUAGUAAGUUGUCUUUCUUCCUUUUUAGUUCGUUUUCAUCUGGUCAGAAAAGAAAAAAGUGGAAAAUGAAUUAAUAAUACUUUCUGGAAAAAAAACUGAGAAGCAAGAAAAAUAACUAACCAAAAUUACACUUAACAAUAUUAUAUAAAAAUUAUAAAUGAAUUUGAUUUAUAUUAGUACAAAAUAAUACAGGAGUUUAAUUGGUAUAGGUUCAACUAUUAGAUCUAGAGAUAGAGAUGGCGGGUUCGAACCCAUCUACUAAAAAUUAUACACUUUUUUCUUAAAUUAGGCUAUCUAUGUUUUUUUUUUCUUUUUGUUUAUUAGGAGGAGUUUGGGUUUGGACUCUAGUCUCUCUUAUGGUCCAAAGUUGGCCUUUACUGAUACCAUUUAUGACGUAAACAAUUCCUUUCAUUUCGAACCAAGAGCGCAACCAAACAGGCCUCCCACGUCCGGUGGUGGCUAUCCUUAAGUCUGGGACUUAUUAUCUGAGAUCCGGAUUCGAUCCGAGAUCCGCUCCGGAUCCGCUCCGAAAAUAAGAUAUUCGGGAUGUCCGGACGAAUCCGGAUAGUAAAAUCUUGGAUCUGUCCAAACCGAAUCCGAAUCCGGAUAUUUUAAUUUUUAGGUCCGGAUAUCCAGAUCCGGAUCUGUAUUUUAAAAAUAUAUUAAAUUUUUAAAUUUUCAUUAAUAUUUAUAUUUGAUAUAUUAAUAUUUAUACAUGAAUUAAUCUUAUAAUAUUAAAUUUUAGAUUUUACAAUAUUAUAGACAUAUAUAAAUAUAUUUAUAAAUAUUUGAUUUAUGUAUUAUAUUUUAAAAAUUAGUAUUUAAAAAAAUAUUAUUUUAAAUUAUUUUUAUGGAUCUGGAUCCGGAUAUCCGCGGGUAAUAGAAUAUUGGGACGGAUAUCUAAAAUCCGGAUAUCCGAAAACCACGAAUCCGAAUUCUGAUAUCAAAUUCACGGAUCCGACAGAUCCAAAUACCCCAAAUUUCUCGGAUAUCCGGAUCCGUCUCAGGCUAUGUUGACGGAUGAAAUAUCUUAUAUGGAUUAUGUGUCAUUACAAUAUAUUGUAACCUUUUUUUUUCUUUUUUUGAAAAACAAUAUAUUGUAACUUUAUUGGAGACCUCAAAGCCAACGCACAUAAUAUUGCAACUUAACUAGUACAUCGGCAUUGUCCACACACAUUACCAUAAAUCACAAAUCAUUAAAGAGUUAAGCGAUCCAAAUCCAUGCAGACACACUUGAAAAGUACAAAAUAAGCAAAAACACACUUGAAAAGUACAAAAUAACAAAGCCUUUUUUUUUCUGGUUUGCUUUUAUAUAUCAAACAAACCCUAGUGACCUGUUGGAGAAGAAUCAGGCUGGCUAACAGAGGAGGACUUUGAUGCUUCCAUCAUGAGAGCUGCUUGUUCUAAACAACUCCUGUUAUCAUCAUUCCCAUUCUCCACUUCCUCUUUCGUGUAUAAAUGUAUCUUCAACACCACACUGCAGAAAUCACUGUCCCCACACAGCACAAAUAAAAUCAUUUUCAAGUUGUGAUUGAGCUUUUAGAAGACAUGGAAAAAGAAAACUUACUGCCAUGGAUCAUCACCAACGACCAUCAUAUCGUUCUCACUAUCAGUGUACAAGAUCCUCCAUCCUUUUUCAGGAUCCCUGAGAAGCCCUUCCAUGUUGAAGAGGCGUUCAAGCUCGGUAAGGAGAUCAUUGUAUCCGUUUAGUCGUGACAAAUCAAUAGCUCUCCCCACCAGGCUUCCUUGCUUGUGAACCUUACACAAGAAAUCAUAAUACAUAAGAGACACAUCUAGAAAUGCAGCUCCCAAGAAAAAGAGAUGAUGUUUACCUUUGUACAGAUCCUUUUGCUUGAGCUUUGCUGGUUUGAUGCAGGUGUCCCCACAGGUAAGGAGAAUCCAAAAAGCUUACAACCUGUAGUCGAAGCAUUCAUAUUAACCUCUCUGCCUUUCUCUGUUCCCAUCAUAUCAAUCUUCGGUAGGCCACCAUCUUCACCCUGUGCAUCAAACUUUCUACUAGAAGGGUGACUCAAAGAUUUGUCUCCAGCACUCUGAUAUGGAAUAUGAGAGCUCCUAAUCCCUUGGGACGCUAGUGGAUAGAAACUCGUCUUGUUGGCUUGAUAAGCAAAGGCACCAUUGUAUCCAAGACUAGCUUUUCCUGGACUGAGACCAGCUAUUUGAGGGAAUGACCGAAGUGAGCAAAUUUCUUGACCUUGCAAGACCCUUGGAAACCUAUCCAGGUCCAGGGACGUAGUGUCUACAAACUCACCAAACCGAUCCUUCACUCUACUUGAUAAAAGAAGUGGAUUAGCAUGGGACUGCUGCAUCCCAGCAAAAUCCAGUAUCCGUCGGUUCAUAACAUCAAAACCUUGUAAAGGUGAUGAUGAUGUUGCAGAACCUAUAUUUUCUUGACCUUGCAAGACCUUAGAGGGUCUAACUGACUCCUCAAAGUCCAAAAAACCACCCCUUUCUGCUUUCAAACCAAUAACAGUUUAUCAAUUCAUCAGCACCACUGAAGAAAGUUAAGAGAUGUGUGUUUUAUUUACCGGUUAUGGGGUUUCCUUGUGGAGUAGUAGUACCCAGUAGACCUGCCCAAGGCCUUUUGGGCCUUGGAGAUGACUGAAUGCUUAAAGGUGGGAGAGAACCCGAAGGAUCAAUCUCCCAAGGGGAAACUCUUUCUUGGUGAUCACUCAUAAAAGACUCAUCCCAACGCACCUACCAAACAUAUGUGUGGUCUUGGAUUAUCAAAAAAAGCUUGUAGACAUGUUAAAAGAUAGAAACAUCAAAUAAAUGAGGAAGGACUCACCAACAAGCACCUCCAUUUAGAGUUAGGCCACCUAUAAGGAUCCAUGUCACAGACUCCAGUCACUACACCAGCACAUCUGCAAGAAAAAGCAGCGUUAUCUUCCAAGAAAACUAGCAACAGCACAAAGAAAGAAGUAAGAUAGUAAUAAUAAUAAUAAUAAUACCUUCUCUCAGGAGAAUCGUCCAUUUCAAACCGCAUUCUGAACCUUGUGCCUAUGCAAAUGGGAUUCUUGAUGCUCGUGAUAUACUUCUCAUAAGGAAUCACAAACUCUGAGUGAGUAGCUCUGCAUAUAAACCCAUGAAUCAACGUUAUAACCUUUAAAAGCAAGUUAAGAUUCAUUACUAAUGGCAAUUUUCAUUCUAUGUUUACCGUGGACUGUAGAACACAUGAAACAUGCUUUUGUUAGAUACAGCAUUAGCCACAAGAGAGAGGAUGCUGGAAGAUGAAUACUUCUGAAUGAUUGAAUCAGGAAGUCCGUUUCUUGGCCGUGCAGAUCUUCUGAUUCCUAACCUCAGCUCUCCAUUUUCAUCUCUAGAAACGCAGUAUGUUAGACAUGAGUUUACCUCAGAAAGAAACUCAAACCGCUAAAAGAAGAGGGAAACACAUCAGGGUCUGAUAAACUGAAAGGUUAUGGUUACCUCAGAAAGAGAACAGCAUCACCAGAGACAAGACUCUUUUGACUAACAAAGAUACUCCAACCAGUGGUGAGCAGAUGCCUCCUUGGUUGACCUAUAUUACCAAAGAGACAGAACUUAACAUUUGUGCUUCACUGACAAAAAAAAGAAAGAAACAACUCCCACCUCUAUAGAUAUGCCGAAACUUCCACUCUACUCCAUGGAGAUCCUUUGCAAUGAGCUCUUGAGAUGGUCUCUGCUGCUUGUAGUCCUAACAUCAGUGAAAAAAUCAGAAGUAAGACUUGUAGCAAGAAGGGCACACACACCCCUCUCGGGAGGAAAAAAAGAAAGAAAGAAAAUGAGGUUUAAGAGAGCCAUACAAGAGGAGCGAAACAGUCUUCAGCAGCUCUUCUAGGUACGGAGAAGCCUCCAUGGGUGCUUGUGUCAGAAGCUGUUAAGGUCUUGCAGAACAUGUGAGGUGUUUUUUUGACAGAUGAGCUUCCGUUCUUCUCUUCAUCCCCUCCUAACUCCCUGACCUCUUUGCCUUCCCCAUUUAGCACUGAUAACUAUAAUACCAAAAGAUGUUUCAUUCAACAUAUCAUCCUCACUGAAGACCAAACAAACUCUUCUACAGUAGCAUCUAAAUCUCACCUAUAAUUUCAAAUUACACUAUUGAUAUCAGAUUACUCUACUUCCAAUGGGAUAGGAUGCUUUGUACAGACACAACAUAUGAGUUUGCUUCUUCCAAACAUAAAUUACAUUCUCAAAGAACCAGCAGUUCAGUAAAAAAAGAGCUACCUCUUGCAGUGGAAGCAGAGUGACUUGAGUAUAGACCUCAUCAGUUUCCUUAUUAGCCUUUUCUCCCACAAAAGAAACCAAAAUUUUAAACCAAUUACCACAAUUAGGACUUGUUCAAUAAUAGUAAAGAGUAACACAAAAGGAAUGUUUUUUUAGCUAAAUGAUUAAGACAGGGCUUACAAGCAAGUGAACAUUAGCCACUCUGCAGAAGAUUUGAGGACUGAGAUCAAGUUUAGGGAUAUCAAGAGGAGAUGAAUAUGAAACCAUAGCGCCUUGCUCCAAAUGACCCUGUGGGAAAUACACAACUACAUUGCCUUUCUUGGGAAGAGAAGUGAGAGGACCAGCACAAGCAUGCCACAGCUCAGAGUAUAUGGAGGAAGCAGAAGCUGUAGUAGAAGAUGAUGAUGAACCAGAAGAGCAUGAAGAAGAUGAUGACGGUGAAACUCCAAGCCUCUUACCCUUAUCAUUCUCCUCUUCCUCCACCUCCGCAAACUCAGUAUUCAAGUCAAACUCCAUGGAGACAAAUUAAAAAAAAAAAGAAAAAGAUUGCUUUUUGGAAUCAAAUUACAACAAAACAAGUAAAACCCAUCAAAGGAAAGUUUGCAAAAUUCUUGCUUGAAGUGACAGAAGCCCUCUCCUCGUUUCAGGUUAGAUUUCACAGGAAAGAAGAAGAAGCAAACUGAAUGUUUUCAAUUGAUGUGAAAGAUGAGAGUAUAUAAGAUUGUGGAAGCAAGAGUUAGAGAGAGAGAGAGAGAGAGAGGGAGAAGGGGAAAGGGCAUCAAAUGAGAAGGAGGGUUUCAAAGUAAGAUUCGUCUUCCUCCAUUUGCAGGUACUGAGAAGAGGGAGCAGAAGGAACAGACAUAAGAUAGAUUGCAGAUGAUAAAAGAAAAAUAUAUUAAAGAAAAGUAAAUUUAGAGAAAAUAAAGUGAAGUAAAAGCCAAGAGGGAGAGAGAUAAGCGGGGGAGACAAAAGCCAAGACAGGACAGAACCCACACACCUGCACUCUCUUUCGCCUUCUUCUUACUUUAUUAUUUUCUUUUCUUUUCUUUUCUCAAUUAAAUAAAUAAAUAUUCAUUCACCUAAAUAGAUUUAUCAACAAAACUAUAUUUAUAUUAAUAUACACACACGUUUGCACCCAAAAAAAGUUUACAUUUCUUUGCUAAUUACUUCCAAUUUUGGUUAAAAUAAGAUAUGUUGCUAUUAAGAAGCUUGAGAUUAGCUUAAACUAUUCCACUAAUCGUCUGAUUUUUUCUGCUUCAAAUUUUGUGGAUGAAUCUACUCUUUUAAUCAUCUCUCUAGAUAUUAUCCACUAAUUGUUUAAUUUAACUGUUUAAUAUUAUGACAUCUUAAUUGAUUUUAGCUUUUUUUAAAUGCUUAGCUUUUCAAGAAUUAAAAAAAAAACACAAAUUGAUUUAAAUUUUUGCAAAGGAAACAGUAUCUCUUUGGAAUCUAUAUUUGUUCUUUCUUUACUGAUUAUGUAUUAAAUUUUUUUAUUCUAAAAUUUUGAUCAACUUUUGCUAUUACUUUUUUGUUCUUUUUAAUUGCGUUGUUAAGAGCCAACCAACCAGCUAAAGACAGAAGACUAGGCUCCUUUCAAUUUUGUAUCAAAAGCACUUUUCUCUCUUUGUUAUUAAUUAAACAAUACAAAAGAAAACUUUUCAGAGUGUUAAAAUCUAGGGAAUUUGCACUAGAUAACAAAUAAAAGGAUAUAAAUUAGCUAAUAGGUAAUGGUACUGUAUAAAUUGUGGUAAUACCAAGCGUGUCCCUAAUAUACAAUCUGUUACACGUUACACGUGAGCUGAACACACUGUUUAUUACCACAAAUGCAAAGAACUGAGGAGAGAAAGAGAGAGAGAGUGUGUGAUAAUAAUGCAAAGAAUCAAGAAUGCUCAACUACUAUUUUUCUUUCCUGCAAAAACCCAAAGCGUUUAGAUACAUUUAUAUGUUAAAGAUCGUCUCGUUUUAAAAAGUUAAACUCAUUCUCUAGUUGUGUCUAAAAUUUAUAGAAUUUAUAACCGAUUACUGAUUCCAAUAUGAACUUCAUGCAACAUAUGUGUCUAAUAUAGGAUCGCAAUAAUUAAUUUCUCCUAAAUCUGGUUUCAAUAUGUAUGUACGCCAACUAUGUCAAAUAAUAACCGGUUGCUCCUAAUAUACGACCUGUUACACGUUAUACGUGAGCUGAACACACUGUUAAUUACCACAAAUGCAAAGAACUGAGGAGAGAAAGAAAGAGAGAGAGAGUGUGAUAAUAAUGCAAAGAAUCAAGAAUGUUCAACUACUAUUUUUCUUUCCUGCAAAAACCCAAAGCACUUAGAUACAUUUUAUAUGUUAAAAGAUCGUCUCGCUCUAAAAAGUUAAACUCAUUCUCUAGUUGUGUCUAAAAUUUAUAGAAUUUAUAACCAGUUAUAGGUCUGAUGUUUCGGUUUUAUAGAAUUUAUAACCGGUUACUGAUUCCAAUAUGAACUUCAUGCAACAUAUGUGUCUAAUAUAGGAUCGCAUUAAAUUAUUGCUCCUAAAUCCGGUUUCAAUAUUUAUGUACGCCAACUAUGUCAAAUUAUAACCGGUUUUCUACAUAUAUUGCUCUUUCUUUCCACUUGCAAUCAAAAUACAUUUUGUUUUUCAACCCCGGUAACAGGUAAACAUUUUCGUCUCAGUUCGAAGAGAAUAUUGGCAGCACAGCACAAUUGUUACAUGGUUAUACAAAUAUUUAAAAAUAAUGCAUAGAUCUGCAAUUACCACAAGAAAUUUGUAUAUUCAGCUAAAUAAGCCUAAAAUCUAUAUCAAAUAAGCACACCAACUUAUUCAGUAAUUUCUACUAAUAUACUACUAUUUAUUAAGAGAAAAUUUGGAACUGAAAUAUAAGUUUGUUUUAGUGGUUUAUUUAACAAUAUUAUAAUUUGAAAGGAAAAAUAUGGAAUAUUAAAAUUUCUUAAAGCCAUUUUGGAUGAACUUUUGCUUAUUUUUAAUGCGGGGGAUAUUGGGAGUUUUCAUAUAGGAUUGGUUAGUAAAUGGUUUAGUUUUUUUUUAUCAAACAAAUGGUUUAACCUUUUUUUUGUCACUGGCAAAUGGUUUAACUUAAGGUUUAUUUGCUAAAUAGCCAAAAAAAGUGAAAUUAGAUUUUGAGAGAGAAUGUAGAGAGAAAAUAGAAAAAAGAGAGUGUUUUUAGUUAAUUAGUGAAUUUUUUUUUUUUUGUCUACUGGAUGCAAUCUCCCUUAACUUAUUUAGUGUUUUUAGUUGCUUUGUUGAUAAGAAAAUAACAAAAACAAAAAGGAUGAUGGGAUGGGAGAGGGAGGAAGAAUGAGUCUCUUCUGAGUUCUGAAUGACUGAGUGAGUCCCAACAACUAACAAUAACCCCCCUUGAUAUUUGCUGCCCUUUGGUCCCACAUUUUCUCAUUUUCUCCUCUUCUUUUUGUUGCUGGGCAACUAAUUCUCAAAUUAGCCUAAUAUCUCUAUUUUUCUUUAGUACUUAAUUAUUAUUCUAAUUUGAUUAGAAAUAUAUCUUAUUUAUUCUAAUACUACAUCACAACUCGAAACGUGUAAUUCUCUUUAUCAAGCCUUCUAAAACUAGCUUAAUAUUCUUUCUUUUGUACUUAAUUACUAUUCUAAUUUGAUUACAAAUAUAUCUUAUUAAUUCUAAUAACUCGAAACGUGUAAUUCUCUUUAUUGUUCCUUCUAAAUUAGCUCAAUGUUCUUUCUUUUCCUUUAGUACUUAAUUAUUAUUCUAAUUUGAUUACAAAUAUAUCUUAUUUAUUCUAAUAUUACACCAUAGUUCGAAACGUGUAAUUCUCUUAAUCUUAGUGAUACGAUCACCAUAUUAUUCUGUCUGCUACUCAUAACUUUCUAGUCAAAAUAUUAUCAUUUAUUUGUGAAAAAAGAAGGGAUCGGAUCAUAUCAUUUCCAUGCUUCUUUCUUUACUAAAGUCACAUUUGCUUACAAUUUUUUUUUAAAAAUUGCUUACAAGGCUAAUAUUAAAAUUAAUAUAUAUAGUUUGGUGCAUCUAUUUCAUUUCAUAUAUUUUAAUGCAACCUGUAAACAAAUAUGAUUGGAUUUGUUUUUUUAAUUCCUUCUUAAAAUAGAAACAAUUACUAUUAAAUUCUAGUUCUAGUAAACAAUAUUAAUAUUGGAUUAUAGUAAAUCUAUAUGUAUGUGUAGUCUAGUCUCAUCUAAUAAAUACUCAUAAAAUACGUGACUGUGAGAUUUAUAUAAUAUUCUAUUUGAAAUAUGAAAAUAAAUGUAAUUCGUUACAAUUGUUUUUCUUAAGUAAAUUGUUCUCAACGAUAUUGGUUUUCUCGGUGAAAUGUUCUAAUAUUAUGCUAGAAGACAAUUUGGUUAGAACCACUUACAAAUAAACAUUAUUGGUGAAAAUGAUUCUGCAUGUUUCUACUAUUGGUACUUCGUAGUUCGUACCCAUUGCUUUGUGUUGUCAUUGUAUUUAUAUUUUAUCAGGUUAGAUUUAAAUGCAAUGUUUUUUUUUUUUGCAGAUGUUAGAUGUAUAGUUUAAGCUAAUAUAAGAUAGCUGACCAAAAGAAUAGCUAAUAUAUAAGAUAUACAAUCCGUUUAGCAUGUGUUCUUAUAGAUUUCGACGGCCAAUAUUUAUGGAUGCAUAACAUCAAACAAAACAAAAAUAAUUAAUAAAGAUUUUUAAAUGCCACAAGAUAUAGAUUAUUAUAUUAGAAAAAAUCUAUUAUGUUUUUACAGAGAAAUAUAAAGAAAAAGGAAAGACAGUGGUGGAUAAUUAGGAGACGUCGUGUCAAAAAAAAAUUGUCGUGAAAACGACAAAGCAACGCCAAUGACUUUAUUAAAGUCACAAGUGUCUCUGUAUCAAUACGAUUAAAGACACUCCUCGCUUCCUCCCUCACUCAUUUUAUAAUUAUUUUCUGUAAGAAAUUUAUGACUUUUCCUUUUUACAUGUUAUAGUAAAUUGCGGUUCCGCAUUAAACCAUGGCAAAUAGUGAAUUUGAACUCAAUAGUAUGUAAAUUGUAAAACUUACGCUACACAAACAUUUAGCAUUUUAGGACUGGUUGUGGUAGGUCUAGAGUCUACACAGGUGAAAUUUGUAAAUUGGAAUUUUGUGUGUUUGCAACCGUUCUCGAAGCUAUGCUCGAUUGAUCUCUAUAAUAAACGAAAAUACAGCCAGCCCUAAAAAUGACCUAAGCUUUGAGCGUAGUAUAUAUCAUCUCUCUACAAUUAUAUAUACACGCAUAUCAUGUAAGUGAAACGAUAUUUAUAGCACACGAUUUUACUUUUGUGUAGUUACUAUAUCAAACGCAUAAUAUAAAUAUGAGUAUAGAUCCUUAAAAACUUUUGAAGCAUGUGAUAAGAAUAAUGAUAAUAUGUUUUGUUUGUUUCUUAGUCGAUUACUAAGUAAAGCACUACUUUGUAGAAGAUUAGACAUGUUGAAUUUGACUAAAAAACGUUGAUUAACCAUAAGAUAAGCUUACAGUACAGACAGUCGUUAAAACUUAAACAGGUUAGGUAGGAUUCAUAUAUCAACUUGUGAUAAGAAAAGCGGGUCCAUCAGAAAAAGGAAAAUUGUAGAGACAAAUGGUAUCCCAUAAGGAGAAAGCAAUUUGUCAAUUUGGAGCCUACGUUAAAGUUGGGUCCUAUUUUCUUCUUGUUUUUUCUGCUUUUAGUUAAAGGUUAUAAUAUAUAACAGAUAAAAAUGUGCAUUUGAGUGAAAGUUUCGACCUUAAAUAUAAAUUCAAACUUCCAGUACCAAACUCUACAUUCCCAGUUCCUUGUUAUAUAACCCUUUAUAAGAAUCUAAAAUCUCAUCAUCUUUUGAAUAUCCAUCUUUCCUAGUAUGGAUGAUUUGAUUUUACCAAAAAGUUUUACAAACCAGAAAGAAAAGAAAAGAAAAAACUGUAUUAUGAGGUUUUUGGAACAAACCAUUUGAACUGAGUUGAUGGAAUAUUAUUAAUUAAUUUGUACGAGUAAUUGUCGUCGAUAUCGAAUUAUUACAUUUCGUGUUUGGAUCCUCAUGUCUCUCUCAUGCCAACAUGAAGUUAUUUUAAACACUUUUGCUAUAUAUGUUGUUCUAAAGAUCUCAGUCUAGUAGCUAGCUUGACCCCAUUAAUAUGAAAUGUUACAAAUAAGAUAUUCAUAUUUUCAUGAACCAAGUAUGAAAACUUUGGUUCUUGGAAGUGAUCUCCAUCAUCUCUUAUGGGCCUAUGGAUCCUACUAGGCUAAAUGCGGGCCGAUUUCUCUAAAUUGAGUUCCUUGAUUGGGCAUUUUUCACGGACAAGUUAGUACAGCCUAUUUUGCCGUAUGUGGAAUCGGCUUUGACCUUGUUGUCGAUUUGGCUAAGAUAUUUCUUUUGUUAAAGUCUUAUGCUCUUUGUUGUCAAUUUGGAUUUUAUUCAGAUCCCUUUUGUAACCUUCGUUUACUGGUUAAUGGAAUGAAAGUGUUUAAAAAAAAUGAAUUUGACCAUUCAAUUAGAAGCUCUCAUGAAGGACACAACAUAACGCAUUCCCGGAAUUAGCACAUGCACCUUUGGAUUAUUUUAAGCUUCAUACAAAAUUAAUCUGAACCAAGAUCGAGGCUAAGUUUGAAAACAGAGAGCAAUUGAUUAGGAAGAAUCUUUACACAAUUAAGAUAAUAUAAUUCGUACUAUAUACAUUUCAAGACUUAAAACACAAAUUUCCACACAACCUGCCGAUGCGCCUCCACCGCCACCAAGCUUGCGGCGACGCAUGCCAGCCGUAGCGGCGGCGGAUCCACGAGGAGCAGCCAGACCGGGACGGGAGGCUGAGGAGGCGGUGGAGGUUGAUUGUUGGGACUGGGAAGAGCCUUUAGCCAUUCUUCUUGUAUUGGACGGAGAAGAGACAAAAUGUUUUUUUUUUAAGUCAAAUCUUUGGUGGUGGUGUAUAAUAGAAUGUUGAUGAAGAAGAGGAAGAGACGUGGGAGUUGCAGUAUGUAUAUAAACUACAUUAUAUAGAAUACUCCCAACGACUUUUUUUGGGCGGUAGUCACGGGAAGAUGAAUCUUGUUC